rnacentral:lncRNA from 1 species
CUUCUAGAGGUCUCCAUAUUUUAGGAGUUAGAUAGGGAGCAUGGUUGGAGGUGAGUUUUCUUACUUUCUCCCUAAAUUUUAUCUAAGAAGAUGGUUUAAGGAGUCCAUUGUAAAUGCUCUAAUUACUAUAUAGUAUAAUGUCGAACGAAAUUACAAGGUUAUUGAUUAAUAUAAAAAUGGUGUUGGACAAAAUUGAAGCGCUAGGUCCAAGAGUUGUCUAGAUGGAGUUGAGCAUGACAUGGGUGUCCAAUAGCUAAAAAGGACGAUGUCAAAUCACUAUAGUAUUUUGCUUGGUCUAAUUUUCAAGUAUUAUUAUUGUUAUUAGAUUAUCGAGAGAGAAGAAGAUGUGGAUGCUUCUCUAAAGUCGUUUUAUAAUGAGAACGUCAUAUAUGAAUCAUAAAUGUGAAUCUUUAUAUUAGCUACACAAUUCUCUUUUUUCUUUAAUUUUUAAAAGAUAGUUGUGUAGCCAAGUCCAAGUCCAAGUCCUUUUUUCUUUUUUACGUAGUAGGAGUGAAUGUGACAAAUGUGAAUUAAUAAUAAUUUAUUUAACAAGUUGCAAACAUCUCUUUAUCAGAUUUUUUUUAAAAAAAAAAAGAGAAAGAAAAGCAAUUUCUUUCUAAUUCUUGUUGUUAUUGUUAAUUUCUUUGUAAUUCUUGUUGUUAUUGUUAAUUUCUUUGUAAUUCUUGUUGUUAUUGUUAAUUUCUUUUUAAUUCUUGUUGUUAUUGUUAAUCACUGUACAAAUAAGAACAACAAGUGGUUUAUUAGUGUUGUUUAAGAAUACUUUCACUCAUUUGUCAUGGUAAAUGGCAAGGUUAAGGUAAAGAUUGUUACUAUUCACAUGAAUAGUGGCAGCCCUUGUAAAAUGCUUGUUGUCACUCAUUGUCAUUGUAACAUCCCAUAUUGACCAACGGAUAGGGGGGGUGAUGUGCCUUAUAUGCACAUGCCCACUUCUAUCUAGCAUGAGGCCUUUUGGGAGCUCACUGACUUCGAAGUCAUGAGAACUCCGAAGUUAAGCAAGUUGGGGCUAGAGCAAUCCCAGGAUGAGUGACUCACUGGGAAGUUGCUCGUGAGUUCCUAGAAACAAAACUGUGAGGGCAGAGAAGGGGGCCCAAAGCGGACAAUAUCGUGUUCCGGCGGAGCCGAUCUCGGGAUGUGACAGCCAUAGCAACCCAAGAGCAACCACUAUUCACAUGAGAUAUGAUGAGAUGAAUUUGUAUAGAGUUUUGGUGUGGGAAGUGAAUAAUAUAGCUAGGUAUUUAUUUUUAAAAAAAAUUCUGAAAUUUUUGAUUUUUUUAAAGAAUUUUUUUCGAUUUUUUUAUUAUAAAACUUUCGUUGUUGACGUCAACAACCCCCAAGCACGAGUUUGGGCUCGUUUUGCCCGGUUUGCUGACCCACCUCUUACCCAAGCUGCUGAAGCCCGACCUGGGGCUUGGGCCCUCUCUUGCUCGGGCCAAAUUGAAGCGGUGGAAUUGCUCUAAGAAGUUUCAUUGCAUGUGAAAAUGUCAAAUUUAAUAUUUUUUAAUUAAAAGAAAAAAAAGGGUAAGAAUCGUUUAUUUUCUAGUGGAAAAUAUUUAGUCAAUCACAUCAAAUAUUUGUCAAUGAAUGGAACAACAGAUCUCCUACUAUGCUAUGCCGUGCAAUUUUCCCCUGAACUAUAAUUUAUUUCCAUUCCACCAAAGAUUCUAAUGGUUCAAAAAAGUUUCUUAAAAUGAGUUCAAGAUUGAGUGAACCGUUGAAUUUACAUCCAACGGUGAGUGACCACAAAUCUCUUGGACUCCUGUGGUCCAAGAGAUCGGGACUGUAUAUAUAUAUGGCCCAUAGUUUUGGCAAUGAUUUCCAUUUUUGAUUUAACGGGCACUCGAUCCGUUGAAAAACAAAAAAGCAGUGUUAAUGUUAAGUUCAAGAAUAUACAAGAAUAUGCCGGAUGGGUAAUGAGGUCUAAUUCAUUGAGAAAGGUCUUUUAUUUGCAGAUAAGAGAUUUUAAGUUAAAAUCUUAUUAUCUUUUGAUCGUGUCUAUAUGUAUGAAAAAUUCAUUUCUUUUAUAAUUUAGACGAUCACUUGUUCUUAAAAAAAAUUAUAUAUAUAUGUUGGUUAUGGUUAACUAAUCCCUUGUUUAAUUACUUAAUCUUGGUUGGUGUACAUGCACCCAUUAAUCUGAUGAUUUUGAAUUAAGCAGAUGCUAAUCAGAGGGCAGUCAGUGCUUAAAAGGUUUGACCCCUAAGAUGUCUUAACCAAUGGUGCAGAGUAUGUGAUUAUUGAUAGAAUAAUAUUAUUAUUUGAAGUAGAGAAUAUAUUUCUCAUCAUCCAUGUCCCAUGAGGCAUAUAGUAUAUGUUUAUAUUUCUUUCAGAUGAGGCAUCUUAGUCCAAAAUAUAUAUAUAUAUAUAUAUAUAUGCCUGUGUUUCCCAACAUAUUAAUCUCUUUUUGACCUAUGUAGAGGACAAUGACUUCCCUUUAUGACUAAUAAUGCCAAGCUACUUAAUUAGCCUAUUGGCUGCAAUAGUUUGUUGUCAUGGUCGAUGGUCCACCACCAAAUUAAACACCCUAACGGCUUUUCAUACUUAAUUAAUAAGUCUAAUUAGUUUUUGCAGUUCAUACAAGGGUUUGCAAAUUAUGUGGCAAGCUUUCUUGUUUGUGCACCCCCUAUGUAGAACCCUAUUCAAACAUGAGCAUUUAGUGGCGCCAAUUUAAGUCACAAAAGCAAGUAGGCUUUAUAGGUAUGAUCAAUUACUUUUCUUUGGCACAUUUCAUGAUUGAAGCGACUAAUUGAAUGAAAGAUUAGCAAUUGAUUUUAUAUUUUGGUGAACAUAGUCUAAGGCGAGGGAGGUUUCUCACACACACACUACUAAAUUAACUAAUGCAUUGACUUUUUUGUUUUGGUGGAUAGAAGCAACAAAUUAAGGUUGGGUGGUUUAGAGAAGCCAGUUAUCGUAGGCCUCACAAACACAAAUGGCUUAAUUGUUUGAAGUGUGGAUGAGAGAGGAAGCAGGAGUUUGCUGCGACUUUAACACUCCAGUUGUGUGUACUUGAAAAUCAACAUGACAAUGGAAUAAGUCGUUGUCAUCCUCCUUCCCUCAUCACCAUUAUUAUUGAAAUAUCCAGAUCAUGGGGACCAAUAAUUGAACGAAGAAUUAAGGCCUCCUUUACAAAGCUUGUGGUUUUGACACACGUAAGCAAAACUUUGGUGGGCAUGGAUGGAUCUUUAAGUUCACAGCACUAGGGUUUUUAAGGGCUUCGUUUUCAACUUUUUUUUUCUUUACUUUCGUCUGACGUAAAUGAUGAGUCCAAGACCAAAAAGCCGAAAUAUAUUAAUGGAACCAUUGGCCGACCUAUUAAGGUUUCCCAGAAAAGUCUCUUCAAGCGCUGCAUAUUGCUUCUUUGCUGAGGUUUUGUGGUGCACUCCAGGUGUUCGACGAAUUGCCUCAACCAAGGCUUGCAGGCGCUGUUAUUGAUGCACCCUUGGCUGUUGUUGCGCGUAGCUUUUUUUUUUAAAUUUUAUAAAAACAUGUUGGCCAAAACGACGUCAUUUUGGACCGAAUUUAAAAGAAAAACAAAAAAACAAUUUGUGGACUUUAACAAGCUUUAAUGUACGGGCUACUUAAGAAAUGAAAAAAGGGCUAUAACAAAAAGGUUUUUAACAAGCUUUCUUUUUCUUCUUUUUAAAUUAAUCGUUUGGCUUAAAUUAAUCCAAUGGAGUUAGUUUCCAAUCCGAGCAUUCUUUCUCAAGAUGGCAAAUUCAACAUCUUUUCUCAAUCCGAGCAUUAAAAGAAAAGGAUGUGCUAAUUAAGUCAUGUUCUUUUAAAAGAACAUGACUUAAUUAGCACAUCCUUUUCUUUUAAUAAUAGAAAGAAAGAAAAUAUAACUUCAUACAUAGGAGAAAGCAGAUGUACUUUCCCUUUCUUUUUUUUCUUUUUUUUAAAAAAAUAAUUAACCUUUUAACCUUUUAAAAUUACACAUUUAUUAUAUAAAAAAUAAAAAAAAUUGAAUCCGCCGGUAAAUGAAACCAUCAAAAUUAGGAUCUAUCAAAUUCAAAUGUGUGUGAGAUCGAUGAUGAUCGUUUGUGGGGGACAAUAACUAUAAAAUUAUAGUUUUUUUUAGAACCUAUAAAAUUAUAGUUUAAGUUCAAAAAAAGAAAAAGAAAAGGGAAGGUUCUUGGUGUAUGCAGCAACGUAUGUGCGUAGUCGGUCUAGUAAUCACAUAUUUUCUCCAAUAAAAGAAGAAUCAAUUUGAAAUCUGCAUGUAAAUGUCAUCUAUAUAAUCUUCCCAAAAAAAAAUGUCAUAACAUAAUUCAAAAAUAAUAUUUUAAAAUCUAGUAGUUGGUAAUUGUCUGUAGUGAUAGUAUCAGCUUCGGUCCACUUAUGUGAAAAAUAUCCUGGGACUACAUAAUUAUAAUAUAUAUAUUAUUAUAUAUAGAACUUCAGUUGAAUAAUUUCUCAAAUAAGAUUAUUCGAAAAACAUCCUAUACAUCCUAUACAUUGUAUUUCAAUAAUAUGAAUCAUCUAGUUUUUAGUAUAUGGACUUGAUGACAUUGGCAGCUACCAAAUUAAAUUAGGGUUUUGAGUGUGAAGGUGGUGAUGUGGCCGUAGCUGUAUCUCCUCUAUCUGUGACUCAUUGGUUGUUCUUAUAUGAGUCGGCAUGGCAUGACAUGAAGAUGCUCAGGCAUGCUCCUCCUAAUUGGAAUUCCAUUUUAAAUAAUACCAUAUAAUAUAUAUAAUAAUAAUAAAGAAAUAAAAUAAAACCAACUAUUUAGGCCCCACUCUCUCAUGCCUAGAUGCCUAGCAACUUGUCUACUGGUCAGCUCCUGAGGCUCAGCUAUUCUUAAGUCACAACUCAACUGGGUGAUUCAUUCAAAUCCUUUUAUUUAUCAGCCAAUGUACUUUGUUGUUGUGCUCAGCUAUGGUUUAAUCCUGUUUGUUAAAUUAAUUAAUCCUCUCCUCCACUCAAAUUCGAAUGAGAGUAAUUGUGUCAGAACCCUCCAAGGGAACACACUAAUCAACACUAAUCCAUAUAUUAAAAUAAAUAUAAAAAAGGAACAUACGUUUAAGUUUUAGUCACACAAUAUUAAAGUCCCGUUUGUAUCAUGAAAAAGGAGGCUUCGAGAUGAGAAAUCAAUUGCUAAAUUUUAACCACCUCAAAUGAUAUUGGUCCAUUACUUAAAAUACUCAUCAGGGUCAGGGAUCUAGAUCUAAGACUGUUUGCCUGUGUCCUCGUACUCGUAUCUGUUGUUCUCAAGCUGCUUCAUUUGAGUUGGGCAGACUGAACUUUACUAUAUUAAUUUAAUUAUGAGUUCAAAGUAUCCUAUCUUUCUAUAAACAAGUGUUGAUUUCCAUGGUUAUGGAGGUGAAAAUAACGGAUUUUAACAGUCAAUUGCUAUAAACAAGAUCGGAAUUCGGAAGUAGUCAUAAGUAGACGAAGGAUGUCGACAACAUGAUUCGUAAAACAAAUUUCAUUCAUCUUCUUCUAAUCAUGAACAAGAACAAUGGAGGCGGCACAAUAUGGAACACAGCCUCAGGAUGGGAUCAGCAGCACUAAUUACAAUUCCAAAGGCCUAAACUACGGCCACCUAUAUCAUCAUCUACAUUUGUAAGUAGAACCAAAAACACAUACCUACUUGCUUGGGACAACACCACACAACAAACAAACGGACACCAUUCUAUUAUUAUUAUUCUUCUUCUUCUUGUCAUUCAUCGGCCCUUUUUACCCUAAAAUCCGAACAAAAGGUACCCUUAUCUUCCGAACAAGAUCCAUCCAAUCCACUGGAUCCCUCCUCCUGCAUAUCAAAAUUUCCGUGGAUACUACGAUUAUCUAAACCAGUUCCCCUGGUAGAUAUCCCAGACAGUGAAACCAGACCCAUGGCUGCAAUGCUGUUUGCAAUUACAUCAACGUCCCUGGUUCCACUAUACAGACCCCGGCUCCCACCAACCAGCAAAUUUCGAUUCUCAUGUGCAUUUGACAGCAUGGCAGGCAAUACAUCUAUCAGCUGUGAGCCACUCUGUGUCGAACCACUCAUUAGCAGUCGCCGCAGUGUCUCUCUCGCACCCUUCUCCACCAUAGAAUCAGUUUCAGGAAUGCUCACAAGUUUCGGGUGCAAAGGAGAAAUGGCAGUUGAAAUAGCAGGACCAGCGCUGACCAAGUACCCUUGACCCGAAGAGCAAAUAUCAAUAACUGGAAUGUGAACAAUUGGGUCACACAUCAACGGUGUGAAAGUUGGGAUCUGCUGAGAAGUUGGCCUUGGUAACCUGACCAAUGGGUCUGGGAGAAAAGCAGGGAAAUCAACCAAGGGAGCAUCAGCCAAAUUAAGUGGUGGUUUUGUUGUCAACAUGCUUGAGGGCACAUUGGCUUGUAAUAAAGAAGAAAGUGGUGGAAGCAAAGCUGAUUCAAUUGAUGAGCCGGGAAGCUCAGGAAGUUCUGGUGAGAACUGCAAAUCUGAUGAACCUGGAGGGCACCAACAAUAGUAAGGAGAUAAAAGAGGAGUAACUAUGUAAGGAACUUGUGAUGCAGGGUUCAAGGUUGAUGGGACAGCCAGUUUUCCUAGCGACUCUAGGAAACCUGAAGAAGAUAAAGAGCAACUUCUAAUAACUUCCGGACAUUUGUCAAUUUCAGCAUUAUUGGGACAAGAUGCACCAACUGUGAUUGAUGAAGCAAUUGUUGGGAUGUCAAUGCCCGAAAGGUACAUGUCCCCUCGCCUCCUCAACUUUUCCCUGGAUAUGUUCCUCAAAGAAGACAAGGUUCUGGGUAGGCCCUCUUUGAAGGAACUUGGUCUUGGGCUCAGGCUACCCUGAAAUGAUGAAUUUGCCUUCGUUGCCUGAUUGACACUAUGCCGUGAACGCAAGGAUUUUGGUGAUGCGGAUGAGAAUUGUCCAUCUUGAGCUGUAUCAGAUAGCUCUGUGGUGGUAUCCCCAUCAGAUGUGGAGCCUGCAGAACUUCCUGCAUUGCCACCCACUGUUGAUCCCACCAGAUAGGCACGAAGGUGAGUUGCAAAGCAACCAAGGCGUGAUUCACUGAUUCCAGUUAACUCAGCUAUGGAGGGCUUCCUCUUGAUCAGAUCCUUCAUCUGUUACAGGGGUGAAGAAUCAGUUAGCAAUUAUAAUAGCAAACAAGUGCUCUGUCCAGACAGGUUCAUUAUGUAAGUCAUACAUACCUUUGCAAGCAAUUCAAUUCCCAAAAGUCGGGAUGUCUCAGAACACCAAAAGUAAAAAACCCGGCCACCUGGGAUUUUAGUAAGGAAAGACCGGCCAGAAUUGUCCGUUGGAAUCUCAUUGACUUCUACAGCAGAACACUGAGAUUUGCUACUUAAAGUGAAAAGUCUAUCUGUAUGACCAUCAUCCCCAACGAAUGAAAGCCGUAAAUUAGAUGUUGGCAAGACUGUAAGAUUUAAAUUACCCCUGAGACAACGUGAAAAGAUAACGAAAGCUUAGAAAGAGAAAUAAGCAUGAGAAACCUAAGUGACUUUCAACGACUGCAGAGGCCCAAUCACUUAAUGUUAAUCUAAUUGUUCUUUCUCCGCUAACCACAGGUAUUUCCUUAUUAUUCUUUUUUCUUCUGGUUUUUCCAUUGACAAUAAUCAAAACUAAAUUCAAGCAAGUAAUUUACUAAGUACAAGGUCAGAGACAAAGGUCACAACAACCCUCUCUAACUUCUGUAUAUCUGUUUUCCAUUUUAGGAGAACAAAUCACCAAAGCAGGACCACACACUAUUAUUCAGAGUUGAACUAACGCUAAUUUUGACUCAACAAUCAUAAAACAUGACAACUAAAGAGUUGCCUCCAACAUUUGGGCUCUUCCAGUGAUCAGCAUAAAUGAAAGGUAUACAAACAAUGCUCAAAGAUUCUCUUUUCUAUGGAUGUAGAAGCAAACAAAAAGAAUCAAGUGACAGGAUGUCUAUACACCAUAUAAUUGGAAGAAAGUUAGACAUACGAGUAGCAAAAUAAUGCCAAUUAAGGAAAGAAUAACUAGCUGUUAAUAACAUAAAAAUCAGCUUGUUCAAUCAAACAAACUUCGGGAAGACAGUAGGCAGACAAUGACAUAACUCAGAAACACAAUAACUUGUCACACUCCAUUUUAAUUUCUAUUAUAAUGCCAAUCAUUUAUAGCUAAAAAGCAGUAGCAAACUAUAUAAUAUAGGAUCAUGAAACUACCUUUACUUCCUCUUAAUUCAGAGAUCAUAAUAGAAUACGCCACAUUACCUACAAGUCAAAAGACAUAUUUACUUGGAAGAAUGAACAUUGUCACCAUUAAUAAGCUAAAAUGGACUCCUACGACCUACAAAAAACAUUAAUCACGCAAUACACUCCCCAGAACAUUACAUUUGUUCACAAACUCAAUGCUAGAUCAAAACUCUCUCCACUAACUUUUUUAGUUUUCUACCCACUGAACUCAUGCUCCCCCACGAGUUAAUGACAGUAAUUUCAAUGACACUAAUAACAGAAAAGCAACAAAGAGUAUCAGAAUAGCCAUAAAUCAUUUUAUGAACAAAAGACUAAUAAUAAGUAAAAGAUAAGUAGAAACAAAUGCUGAGCAAAGAGCAUUCAAGGUUAACUGUAUGCUUCAGCUGAAAUCAUUCUGCUUAAAUAUGGUAAAUGAAUGUCCUAUUCUUUUCAUAAACUGAUAUCAUUUAACUAACCUCAAAAACGUCUUCCCAAUGUCUGACUGCAAAAAACCGCCAUGCAGUGCAAAGUGACAUCAAGAUGUGGUAAUGUUUACAACAAACAAAUACAAUCUACUAGUCAAACAUGAUUCAUAUGAAUGAGUGUUUCCAUCGCUACCAUAAUAUGCUACUACUCUCACAAUCCACAAUAUUAGUCAUUCCAAACUUCUUAUUACACUUCAAUUACAUGCUAAGACUGGUGAUCCCAAACAUCUACCACUCUUGUUUAUAAUUCUGAAAUGAAACAUGAUAAGUAACACUUUAGCGACUAUAAUGUUUUCUUACGGAAGAGGCCAAAACCAAAAAAGAGAUCUGACCUAAGAUUGUCUUCUCAAUGCAAACUUCUAACUGAACACCAAGUCUUUUUUACUCAAACCUUAACUGUUCCAUGUUCAGAGUAAGGUGAUGUACCACAUUCCCAUUCCCAUUCGUCAAGCCAUAACAAACUGUGUUUCAAGUACCUACAGUAUGUCACUACCCAUACGAGAGAGAGCUUACUCGAUUAUGAAUCACAAUAAAAAAUUCAGGAAUAUCUUAAGUGAACCUUUCAAAAAAUUUCUAUAAAGAUGAAAAUCACUUUCUUAAGUUUAUAAUCAACAUGAAAAUGCAGUCCAGUCCUCCAAAUGCUAGAUGAAUGAUUUGAACAAAAAUUAAACAUCCACAAGCAAACAACCAAUACUUAUAUACACGGGGACCUGGAAAUUAAUAUCGACAAAUAUGAACUUACAGGCAUAAAUUAAUAUGUUUGAUUAACUGCGAAACAUCAGAACAUUACUAACAUCAGGUAUAUUUUAAACCAGCUGCCUGCAUAAAAUGUCAAAAGCAAGACUGUAUAGUACAAUCAAGUAACACAUCCAAGACAUGCUUGAAUUACAUAUAUACAUGGAAUGCAGGGAGGUAAAUUUAUGCAUUAGCAUAAUAGAUUCCAGAGUGAUUCCGGAAAAUCCUAGUAAUCAGGCUAGAAUGGUAAUUGAUUGUUUCAUAUCAAUAUAACCUCCCCCAAUAUAAAAUAAAGCGUUAAGUGGAAGGGACCAGACUAGAAAUAUGAUAUUCUGGCACAAUCGCACUUCAAUCAUUUGGAAACAUGAUGAAAAACAUUAUUUAUUCUCCUUUUCUGUCAAAACUUAUAGAUAUAAACGCCAAUGCAGCAUCAUCAUGUGAGAAGGUAUUGCCACACAUGAAUUUGUCAGUAAAAUGAAAGGGGGAUACAGAGGGCAAAACGAAGCACACUCAUUAAUUUGAAAGUCGGUGAUUUCAGAAAAGCUAUCUAAAUGCACAGACUACUUGUUCUAAGUGAUAGGCUAUGUUCAUUUCUUAUUCAACUAUGCAAAAGAGCAAGACAUGAAAAGAGAUUUUAGAGUUAAUACUAAUUACAAACAACUUUUCAAACAAACAAAGAUACCAAACAAGUGCAUCAAGAGAUAUAGUAAUCUGAUAUUUACCUAGCAGCAGUGGGGCACAAGAGAGUCCCUUGCUUGUUGAUCUUUCCCACACGAAUUGAAACAAGAGGUAUACAGAAGCACCUCGCUAGCAUUCCAACUUCUGCUGGCUCGAAAUGCUGUUCAUCAAACACAACGUGUGAGAUCAUCAUUUUGCAAAACCAGAAAUCAAAAAAAUAACCACAAUCCCAAAAAUUAUCCCCUACUUCGACCGAUGUUCAACAACAGUUCAGCCUAUUCACAAAGCAUCUAGCAAUUAUUUGUAGCCUCAGUGCCAAUUUUUGAAACCGCCCCCCCAACAAAUACUGUAAAUGGCAACACGGAGCUUCAAAUCAAGUUGCUUUAUCAGUGAAUUUCUACAUUGACUUCUUUGAGAUCAUGGUUAUAACAUACCUGGCUUAAUUGAGCUAACAAUCGACCUUCUGCGACGUCGUUCGAGGCAUUCUUCUUCAAUAAGGGCUUCAACCUCUCGUCGGCACGACACGCACCCAUAACCUGCAUAUCGAGCGCUUGUAGCCACUGCAAAACACGGUCCUCUCGAUUGCUCUGCUGGAGCAACAGAUCUCCAUCCCCUUCAUCAACAAGUAUGUCCGUCAAUCGCUCUUCGAGCCCAAUCUCACUCCUCGACGCUGGUCCAACGCCGGAGCUCUCAGCGCCAUUCGAGGACGACGAGUUCUCCAAUUCUUCACCGUUUGAUUGAUCCGCAAUGCGAUCGACGCCAUCGAUCUCGUCAUUCGUAUGUAAAUCUUGGUUUCCAGGGCUAGUCAUCGCGGAUAAUUGGGAAUUUUCCGUUAAAUCGCCUUUGAUAGAUUCGAAACCCUAAUUCGAUUUAAUUCUUUUUUAUUAAUUUUAUUUUUUUAAAUUGUGGUUUCCAAAUCUGAAUCUGAAGCACCAGAACCUGAUUGAGAUUGAGAUCGAGUCGGAGAACGAAGAUUGAAUUGCGUGGGUGAGGAUAGAGAGAAGGAGAUAAGAGCUUUUCAGAGAGGGAAGAAAAUAUCUCCCACAGGAAAUAAAUGGUCUCUGUUGCGAAAAUGGAAGAGGACGGAUGGUACUUGGGGUCGGUUUUUAUAAUACAGCUGGGCCUGGGAGGGGACUAGACUAAUGAAAUAUGAGGCGGACUUGAAAACCGCCUAUAAAAUGCGAUUCUGUGUUGGUCUUCAGAUCCGGGGCGUGAUUGCAUAGGCACCACGUCAGCUCAUCAAUCUCUUUGUGGGACCCGAUUAUCCGUCAAGCCAAACAUUGAAGGAGGUGCCACGUCAGUCGCUCAACGGACCACGCCACGGGUUCCGCCCGAUAAGAGAUUGGCUGGUAGCGUCCGCACGCAUUGGAGGCUGAGGGCUUCUUUUUUUUUUUUUUUGGACAAAAGGAGGCUGAUGGUUGAGGAACAACCGAACAAAGCAAAGUACAAUUAAUCCACUAAACAACGUAUAUUUGAUUGGUGCUUUAACUUUUUUUUUUUUUUUUUUUUUUUCUGGCCAAGAUUGGUUGUGAGGACUUGAUAUGUUUAUUUAUUUAUAAUGAGAAAGUAAGGCAUCAAGAAACUUUGGAAUAUGAAAAGUAAGCAAUUGGUAUAUGAAGUUUUUGUUUGGCAUUACUUAUUUGGGGUGAUAAGUGAUUUUUUAAAAAAUUUGUGAAGCACAACUCGUUUGAUAAAUUAUGACAAAAUCACUUAUUGUUAAAAAUUAUUGUGAAAGAAAGUUAUAAGGGAAAGCAACUAAUGAGGUGUUUUUAUUUUAUAAUUAUGCAGGAAAGAGACGUUGGAUUUAAUAAUUAUGCAUGAAUUAUUUUCUGAUUAUUCGAAAAAUAGUACCAACAACAUUUUUAACAAAAAGUUUACCAAAUGCCAAAUUAUUUUAUCUCACAGCAAAUCUGAUAGCAAUUAUUUUCAUAGCACAAUAAUGCCAAAUUGGCUCGAAGCCAUUCUCAUUACGUUGUUUACUAAUUAUAUAUAAUCAACAUAAAAAUGAAGUUUAGAAUUUAGGGUUUAGUUCAAUAAUUGGAAAAAUUAUCUAUCUUUUAAUAACGAUUCCUAGUAAGUAAACAUGUCAUUUGUUAGUUCAUGAAAAAAGGUCUUUCAUUGUAGGUCCCUUUGUAUUUAUUGAGACAAUUACUUUUCGCUUUUCUUAGUUUUACCUUUUUAGGCCGUUGAUUGGGGUAGGGGAUGCUAAUAUUCCAAUGCAAUGAUUCCAAUUAAACAAAGUAAAGUUUCAUAAAACAGAAGGAAAAAAACAGGUCACGGGAGACAAAUAACACCGAACUGAAUAUGAGUAUAUUCAGACUUAGGCAGUCCUAGAACUUUGACUUUAUAAAGUUGGGUAACAAAAGAAGCUAACUGUUCAAGAUUUCAUCAAUUCAUCCGGUCGGUUGUUUUCUAAAUGACGGAAUAUAAUGUACACUGGUUUGGUUCUAAAGAGCAAAAAGUCACAUUGUCAAAGAGCAACAUCUAUGAUCACAUGACAGCUCUAAAUGAAACCCUCUCUUCCAAUCAGCGUCCCCAUCAAAUGUGCUAUUCAGCAGUUUUCCUGUCACUUGCUCUUCUUUGGUUCUUUCUGGUAUUCAUUUAUUAAAGCUUCAACAUCUUUCCAGAAGAGGCCCUCCACCAAAAUCCCAUCCUUGGUGAACCUGAAAUGUUCCAAAAUGUUGCCAAAAUUGAUUAUGCAUGCAUUUGCAUAUUUUCUUCUUUCUUCUUGUGUGUGUGUGUGUGUGUGUGUGUGUGAGAGAGAGAGAGAGAGAGAGAGAGAGAGAGAGAGAGAGACCACUGAGUAACACUCUUGGUAAACUUUACUGGUUGAUUUGAGGAAAUAGAUUUGGGGUCUGCACUUGCUAUCACAAGUGUGUACAUAUCAGAGAAUCUUGGCAAUUGGGAAGAGACCACCAAUCCAGUGCUUGUGAAGGAAUCCUGUGUGAAUAAUUCCCUUUUGUAUAAAACUUACAAAAUUUUACGAGUUGAAAAUUUAGAUGCGUGAACUAACCAAUAUAUAUUGAUCAUUAUAACUUAUAAACUUGUAGGAACAAUCAUAUUUUAUAUACACAUAAAAUUCUAUUGCAGCAUCUGUGGUUCAAUAUAAAAGUUCUUCAUGAAAGAGUACUGCAGAUGGCUGAUAUAUAGGGUUAGGUUCCAAAUAGUAAGAAUAAACAAGAAAAUAAAAUAAUGGGAUCCUAUAAACCAACUGAGUAAACAAAGAUGGGGUGUAAAACAAAGAUGAGGUGUAACACAUGUCUGAUAAGAGAGAGUAAUUCUGUUUUACUUUAAACCUGUCAAAAGAAAGUUACAAAAUUCCAAAAUGGAUUUUACUAUUUUAAUUCUUGCUCCUAACAAGGAUAAACAUAUUGUCUCAACUAGAGAAAAUAAAAGUCAAAAUCUCCCCGUUAUCAAGCAAUCAUCAUUCUGCACACACAACACACGUGACCUAACAACCAUGGAUAGUCAGAGUCAACGGGGGGUUGGCGAGAAGAAUGAACAAGAAACCCUUAAUGGGCAUUUCAAUAGAGAACUCUUCAUGUUCCACCCUACUGGGAAUACAAGAUUGUGCUUAAUGUCUAAGACAUGUCCCAAUUGCAUAAUGCAUAUACAAGAGGGAGGAUACAUCUUAUUACAGAACAAGGAGAUAUAAUUAUUCGGGUUCUUUAGACUUUCUACUAGAGUAACUGAGAUGACUGUAGCUUAUCACUUAUGUUACAGUAUGGUAGCUUAAUAUGUACAUAUGAAUAGAGACACGUAAAAUGUUCCAGAGAGCCCCCCGACUUUGAUAAGUCGUCACUCAACUCCAGUCAACAAUACCAAGCAAACACCCUAAUCCAAAUUGCAGGUGACAAAGCCACUAUUCAGUAGCAUAAGGCAAAACUUUGAAAAUUAACCCUUAAAUGGGAUAUAAGACAAGGAUACAAAAUAUUUUAUAUUGAAACUAGGGUAUGGAUGUAUUCAAUAGUAGAUAUAACAAAGGAAGCUAGACAUGAGGAAUUGAAAGCAUGGUAAGUCCUAGUAUAUAGACUGAUAUCAGAGUUUAUCAAAUCACACCCCUACGUGCGAUUAGGUUAUCAGCACAUAGUAGAAAAUACAUAUAUCAGCGUGAUCACACAGACAAAGAUUCAGUAACCGACAAGUAAAAUAUCAGCAUGUAAUCAAUCAUCGUAGCUACAUUUUGAAUGUCGAAGAGAAACGUACCGCUGGAGGAUACGUAAAGAGGAUGGCAUUCUUCUCUUUUGUGUAUAUGAUAAGCUGCAAUAGUCCAUUGAAGACUAUAUACUUGCCAGAGUCAAAGAUCAAACACACUUGAAGCUAACAUCAAUCCAAAACUAUGCGACAGCAGUAAAAUACAUAUCAAAUUUUAAGCCAUGAAACCAAGCAAAAAGAGCAUCAAAUCAAAUUAAAUAAUCUAAUAACUGUUUUCUCAUCAAUUAAACGAAGAUAAACACAAGCAAAAGCAUAAUGUCAUGAAUUUUGAGGAUAUAAGACGAUGCAGAGGAUGAGAAAGUCUCGGUUCUCAGGGAACUUCUUCUUGUAAAACUGAGCGAAGAGAGCAAUUACGAUUAUAAUUGUUCCGAGAAACAAUCUUAUAUUGCUCAUCCUCACGUCUUCCACAUAUCCACGGCUCGUCACGAUCUAUUCGAAUUACAAAAACAAUAAAUAAAUAAAUAGAACAAAAUGGAAAACCUGGAAACCGAAACAGAUCGAGGGGAAUUACUACUGACCUCAGUAACAGACUCGUCGAGGAUGUGUUUGAUGGAGUGAUGAUCUAAGAGAUUGGCCUUCUUAGGGUUUCUGUUGGCCGACUCUGAGUUUUUGUCUUGCAUUUUUUUGGUGGAGAUUUGGAGAACUGGGUUUGACGGCUUUUGUCUGAAAAUGGCUCCGAGGGAGAGAGAGAGAGAGAGAGAGAGAGAGAGAGAGAGAGAGUGAGUGAAGGAGCGGGUAACGUUCACAGCUUCAGUGGGAGUAAUAAAGGGAUUUUUUUUUUUUGGGGGGAAGAAAAUUCUUGAUAAAUACUUGCCUUUGCAUGUAUUUUUUGGUUAAUUUCAUAGAUGUUUGAAAUGAUCGUCUUAUUCCAUAAGCAUUGUAAUUUGUAAGUACUAAUAAUAAUUUCCAAUUUGAAAACAAAAACAAAAAUUUGAUCCUGAGUUAAAUAGUAAAAUUAUUCGAACAUACUACAAAAUGCAGUAAUAUGAAAAAUGGCAUAGUGACAAAACUUUUUAUUGAAAACAAACUUAUUGAUGUUAUUAGUUGAUUUUACCCAAUGGUAAUUUGGGUCUCCAGUAUAAUAUACACAUGGUGAAUUAAGUCUAAAAAUAAAAUAGGGUAAACUUACCAGAUUACCCCAAAUUGAUCCCUCUAAAUCCCCUUAUAUUCAAGGUACCAGUUUGCCAACAAUGACGAAUACAUUUCGAAUAAAUAUUUGAUCUUGCAAUGAUAACAUUAUGAAAUAAACCAAUUGGGAAUGGGGAGGUGAAGGCGUGGCCAAAAAAGAGAGGUUAGGUUCACAACUAUGGAGGCUUUGAUUUCACUUUGUUAGUGAGCAAGAACCGAGCACCCUUAACAAGCUCUUCCUUAAUCAUGAACAGAACAGCAGCUGCAAGUACACUUUGUACUAUUUUUGUUCCCAUCCCUUUGUAAAACCCAUAUAAUCCUUCAUAGCGAAUCAUCUUUAGCAUAGCGUCUGAUGUGCCUAAACGUAAAACCAAAAAUAAUGAAACAUCAUAAUUCACAAACAAGAUAUUUUCAUCUGCAAAUAUACAGAAUUGUUGUUUCGAUAUUUUAGUUUCUCAAUGUAUGAAUAAAUAGUCAUAUUCAAACCUUUAUAAUGAUGCCUUUUGUCACCAGUUGUAACCUGUUUUGCUUGAAGCCGCGACUGCAUCAGCAAGAGAAUCAAUAAGAAGCUGAAAAAAAAUUACACUAAAAGACUAGUAUUUAUAUGGAUGAGAUCACAAUAUACUUCAAAAGUCUUUCUUUAUAUACUUAUAAGUUUAAUGACACCAAAUCCAAUACAGAACCAAGACUAUCUUGUCUCUUCCCAGUGUCAUCUCCUCAAUCUUUUACUAUUCGUUUCCCCUCAUUAACCAAAUCUUAGCCAGAAGCUCAACCCAAGUCCUCCAAUCCUUUCUUUACACAAAAAUAUUUCUUUCAUUUUUCAUUUUUCUUUUGUGGGGGAGUGUAUUGCUCAAGUCAAAACUAACAAGCAGCCAAAAUUUAAAACGGUGGCACAUAUCCAUGUCUUUUCAAUCCAGAGGAGAUUUAAAAGUUCUAUCCAUUUACUCCAGUUCACUAAGUUAACUUCAAAUGCCUUGACCUAGAUCAAGCAUUUCACAUUUCAAUAGCAAUCCGUUCACAUAACAACUCAAGUAUGCAUUGCUUCACAAAUACAGAUCUGUAUAAGGUCACGUCAUUUACCUUCACAACUAAAAGAGGAUAAGUCAUGACUGUAGCCCCUAGUUUCGCCAAAGCACCAAGAAGAAAUAUCUACCAGAAUUAGGCAAUUUAUUAGCUCAAGGGGGAGAAACAUAGUACUAGUACUGUAAGUACUCUAAUAAAAGGUAUAUCAUGAAAAAUUUACAUCAGGUUAGGGAUGCUUAAAAGUUUAAGAUCUAGAUGAAACUAACCUCCAAAGCAGUAACCCCACUGUUAUCCUUCUUACUCAAAGCACGUCUUUGCUUUAGCUUCUUCAACAUAGUUUCAUACAGCAUAAAUUGCAUGGAAGGAUUACUCACCUGUGGUCAAAAGCAGAAACAAUUAGUCAUACCCCCUUAGCCUGUAUAAGACACACUUCUUACAUACCAUGAUCAAUGUCGGGAAUACACCUCUCCAGAAACCCAAAACUCCAGCUUCAUCAUAAACUUCCUGGAUCUGUACAUGUUCCUUACAAAGUUAAGGAAAUAAUAUUGGAAAAGAAAAAUAUUGUCUGGCACUGAAGCCAAACUUGUAUGAAUCAGAAAACUAAACCCAAUAUUGAAAUCUAUAGACACAACUAUCCAGCCCACUCAAUAAUUAAGUUGUUGUGAAUUGUCUAAACAAUGACAACAUCAUCAUAUAAAAAUAAGCUAAUUAGCAGCAUUCCAAACUGUAUUUAUCCUGGUAUAUAUUUCGCUGUCUGAUUUACCCCACUUUACUAUCAACCAUGCACAGUUGCUCUUCCUUCAGUAGUACUAGAUGAAUGACCAAUCAUGUUUACCAUCUCUUGGAAAAACCGUGCUCCACAACCAGUUUAGUUUCAAAAUUCAAACAUUUGAGUUAACAAUUAGUUGGUAGUUUAUGCAAAUGUUCCAUUUUGUUACCAAUUGGGUGAUCAAUCAAUUUGCAGAUCAAUUGAUAAAGUCUGUUGGACCAGAACAGUAUUGCUAAUCCACAAUAUAUCAACCUAAUAUUAUCAUCUACGUAAAAGUCCUCCACUGUGGGUGAAAAUAUUAUUCAUUCAAGUGAUGCAUCAUGCAAUCUUUCUUUUUUGAAAAGAGAUACAUCAUGCAAUCAUAUAAUAUUUAAUUUAAUACACAAAUUUGAUAACAUUUCAAGCCAACUUAUUUAGUAAUAUGCAGCCAUAUAAGAGUUAUGCAUCAGUAAAUGAAUACCCCAAUACCCCCACCUGGGUGGAGGCCAAAGAAUUAAGAGUAACACAAAACAUAAUACCAACCGCAUGAGUUGUCCCAAAGGGAGGAGGCUCAGCUGCAGCAAGGACUGCUUCAUCUUGAGCAGUUGAUAGCUCCGGACCAGGCUCGGACUUCUUCAAGUUUUUUUUGUAUGUCUAACAGUGUAAAAAGAGAGCAAACGAUAAAUUAAUAACAUCAAAUUUGUAUACUUGGUGAGAGUGAUCCUUAAGCACAAUUUAUGAAAUUAGCUACACAUAAGAAGAAGAGAAUAUUUGGUUAAAUUGGUAACUAACAUCAUAGGUAUUUCAAAAUUCUGAGAUAAGUUCUAAAUCCCGGAAUACAGUGCUCUUCAAAGGUCACUUUUAGCAUAAAACAUAGAUACAAGAAAAGGAGGAAUACGCACAUAAGACAGCAAAGACAAAUUUUGGUGUCACUUUCACAUUUGGAGAUUCAAUGAAUUUCAUCUUUACCUGCAUGCGUGUAACAACUACCCAUAUAGGAUUUGUGAACAGCACAUUCACACACCUGCAAGAAUAAAAUUGUGGUGAGAUUUUCAGCAGCAAAUCCCAUGAACAAGGAAAAAAAAAAAUACUACCAUAAGCGCUGAGAAAUCUUUUUUGUUAGCUAUAUUUGCAUUUUAUUAAGAGUUUUCAGAAAAAUCCAAUGCAGCUAUUUAAGUAAAUGAUGAUUUAUAGCUUUGAAUAUAUUAUGAAACAAUGAAUGUCGUAAGGUCAUAAUCACAUGCAUAAGAAAAUACCCAGAUAACGCAGCAACCACUAAUGAAGAUAGCAUUCCAACAGAUCCAUCACCAACCCCUAACUUCCUACGUUCAAGUGCAGCAGCUUCAGCCUUGUUCCUGAAUAUUUGAUAGAAAUAAUAGUAAACACCCUGUACCAAUAAAAUAGCAAUUACGUAAGAAACCAAACAACCAAUUAAAACAAAUAUGAUGCAGAUUUAUGCAAAAAAAGGUUUAUAGUUCUGAGCUAAAAGGAUGUAAGCUGCCCUAUAUCAUGUAACACCAUGGAAGUUCUGGCUCAAACGGCACUAUAAAGAGCAUUAAAGUUUAGGUAGAUAGUAUUGAGUAAGCACAUUCCAGCUGGCAUCCUUGUUUCACUUUUUAUUCAAAGGGCUGCAUAUACAUUACCAAAAUACUUCGUUUCACUUUUCAUUGAUGGUACAGAUCAAUGUAGGUAACGAAAGCAUUGAUUUGUGAAUAUUGACUUCUUAGAUGAUCUGAAUUCUGAACUAAAACACAUGAUUGAUGGACUCGAUCCAAAUUACAUAUUCUAACAAAAUAGAAGAUAACUGGGCCAAUACACACAACGUAUUUUGAUUAGGUGAUCUGAUACACGAGUCAAAAGCCAGCCAUGCCUGCUUCAUGCAGACAGCCUAACAAUGGAGGUCAGAUAGUUUUGGGAUAUCACUAUCGCAGUCACUAGCCGUUACUAAUCAAGAGAAUAACUGUAUCAAAUCAAUGCAAAAAGGUGCCAAUAAAACGUAACAGAAAAAAAACCAGCGACCACCGCUCUCUGUCAUUUUUUCCUUCAGGGUUUUGGCCAAUGUAGAAUACAAAUCAAGGUGUCGCUGAGAUAUUAUAAAAGACAUCUGUAUAUAUGCCAAACUCCUUUACAAGAUAAUUAAAUUAGUUCCUGUUCUGUUAAAAGCUGUAAGAUUCCAAAUUUUCUGUUUUUCUUUAAUUUCUCAGCUAACAACAGUGAUUUUGAAUUUUACGGAAGCACAUAAAUAUUUAGCACAUUCCCUCCCUCCUAUUUUAUAAUCAUAGUAUUAGUAACAAUAAGAAUGAGAAGCUAAGCUUUGCUCACCUGAGAUGCUGCUGUGCCCACUAAUGAUGGCGCCAAACCUCCGUACAACCGUUCCCAUCCUUCAUGUUUUAUAACCUGCACAUCAAUUACCACGCACACGCCUAACAAUAAGAUAUAUGGAAAUUAACAGAGAAAUGUGUCCAUUUUCUCAGCAACCAAACGCGGCGAACAUAUAUAUAUAUAUAUACCUGAAGCAUUUGUUCAAUAGUUCCGAGCUUGCUCUUUUCCUUCUUCAAUCCACGUUCUGUUUGUUGACGAGUAUUAACCUACAGAUCACGACCCCAAAUUUAAACAAAAAUCAAAUAAAAUAAAAGCUCAAGAGAAACAAUUGAAACAGACUAGAAAAUUUCAUACAGUCUGAAGAGGAUAUGUGAUGAGCUGGGCGAUGAUUCCGCCGCCAGCUCCGGCCAGGCCAUUGAUCAAAGCGUCCGACAUAUUUUCUCGAUAAAAUAUACAGGGGUUUCUUAUUUUCUCGGCAAAGUGUAGGGAGCCAUGAGGGAUCAGAGAUCUACUUUCCUUUUUUUUUUUUUCCUUUUUACUUUUUUUGGAGAGGAAGGGAGAGAGAGAAGGCUAUCUCUGACUUUGGCCUUAUCGAAACCAAUCAACGGGGAGCAGUCACGCUGAUGGCACUCGCUAUCAGAAGUCCCAUAACUUUUCCUCGUUUAGUUGUUCCGUUCAAGAAAGCAUAUGACGCUUUGGUAGGUGCUUUCGCUUUAGGACCAUUUUAUCCUUCCAAUCCACUAUUUAGUCAAGUGUGUUUUUAUUUUUUGGAUAAAUGAGUGUCUCCACACUAGAAUGGUGGGAUUAAUUUAAGGUUCGGCUUGUCUCUAGCCAUAAAGUGCUUUUAACAGGUUUCGAACUCCUAUCAUUAAGACACUAGGUAGCUUGUCAGUUGGAGAUGACAAUUUACCAAUUGCACCACACCUUGUAAUUUUAAGUGUGUUUUUUUUUAAUUUUUAAUUUUAUUUUAAAAUUCUAUAUUAGUGGUGGGUGAGUGAGAAAUUGCAAUUUAAAAAAAUCUUAAAUAAAGACUUUGAUGAAAUGGACUCCUAUAGCCUUGGACACUUUUAACAUUAUUAAGAGUUAAAUUAUAAUUUAAAAAAACUCAUCACUGAUAUAAUUUUGCAGAAACAACUCUUUUAAAUUCUAAAAAUAAAUAAAUAAAUUGGAUGAAAGAUUCAUUUACAUAAAAUGACAAACAAUAAAGCGAAGGAAAAUAAAUAUUUUAGCGAUUUUAAUUUUAAAGGGUAAUAUUGGAAACUAACCGGAUAUAUUAAAUGAGAGGAGAAAUGAUGAGGCCAUAUCAAAAUAAGGAUGCUCAUUGGCGUACCAUUUGAACUCUACCGUUUGUCCUUUAAAGUUUGUUUAAUCCAAUCUCAACUCUACCUUUGCUCUUGCCCAAACUGAGUUAGCGAGUUCUCAAAGUUGUGUGAAGGAACACAAAUACGUUCUUAUAAUAUCUAAUUGUCCAUCUUUUUUUUUUUGGUAACUUCAUUAACUUAUAAAUAUUGCGAUGUUGAACAUCUUGCUGUUACGGGCCACAAUUUGUGUUUGGGUUUGCAUAGUUUUGAUGUCUUCUUUAUUUUUCGAUUCCUAUUUUGAACAAUGAUAGAUUAAAUCAGGCAUUAAUUCGAAGUGUUUUUUGUUAGAUUAUUUUUGUUUGUUUUUUACCUUGUUCCAUUGUAACUUUUUGUUUUUGUUUUGUUUUUUUCUUGUUUUUUGUUUUUUGGCAUAUCAUGGUCGACCAUGAAUGUUCAACACUAUUUAUUUUAUAUAUUUUUUUUUAUUUUUUUUAUUUUUUAUUUAUAUUUAUAUUUAUAUUUUUUUAUUUAUAAGAAAAGCGAUAAAUUAUUAAAAUAUUUUUAAAGUGAUAAGAAUAGAUGUUUUACACAUAGCAAUUAAUACGAAUAAUUCUAUUAUAAUAGUGUUAGAUUUGUGGAAGAGAAAAUAGGCAAGUAGUUCCUAUAUAGGAUAGGAAAGCUUUGCUUGGGUUUUCUCUCUCUUCCCGGUGCCCUGCUUACUUAUACCUCAUUCCAAAUCAAUUUGGUCUUGUAUUUGGCCUCAUCACCAUUACGAGUUCCUUGGCCACAUAAAUUCUUUCGUAUAUAAAUGCUAGCCAACGUCUAAGCAUGCAUCCUCACCUAUUACGAUAAGGAUUCAACACAGCAACUCUCUUCUAACUGCAUAAGGUUUCUCUCUCUCUCUCUCUCUCUCUCUCUCUCUCUCGUAUCCGGUAUAGGUAGGUAUAUAUGGGGAGGAUGGCAUCGGCACAUGACCAUUCUAACAUGAAGAAUGGUGGACAUCGGAGCAAAGCCCUGAUGAGGAACACGAGAAUACCUGCAGGAAAAAGCUUAUUGCUUCAACGUGACUUAGACCAUCAAGUUGUUUUGAGUGUGACCAUAUACCAUGCGGACGGCGUUGACGACCCAAGUAGCAGUACCAUCUGUGCUUCCGAUCGGAUUUACAGAGCUCUUGUGUGGGUUGAACCCGGCACAGAGUAUCGGACUCCUUUUGUUCGUGCCUUACCAGACCCUAGAUGGGACGGAAAAUGCGAAAUUCCGUUGAGGACCAGCCUUUUGGAUUGGGGGCACCUGAACGUAGAGGUCAUGAGGGGGAGUAACGACACCGAGCCAGGAACCUCUAAUGGCAUAGCCAGCGUGAGCAGGGCUAGAAUCCCUCUGCCAAAGAAGAUGGAUCAGAAAAAGGAAGGCCGGUUUGGACUCGUGAGGAAUGAAGGGCCUGGGCUGGUCAAGGCUGAAGGCCACAUAAUUUUGUCUAUGAAAGUGAAGGAACGCUGAUCAUUAGACUGCAGACGACCUAAGUAGGUCCUGGUUUCUUUGUUUGUUUGUUUCUUCACCCAGUUUUUGUUUGGUACAAUUAGAUUGUUCGAAAUACAAUUUAGGACGUCUUUGAUGAGAUGCAAUUUAUUGAUAUAUUAGUAAUUGUCGUUAGUUUCAUCUUAAGUAACGUGGCAAAAGCACUUACGCUAAUCAAUCAAUUUUCUUCAUAACAGGUUAGAAUAUGAAAUAUAGAUUACUUACUGCAUCAAAGAACUUUCAAGACUGGGUUGUUGCUUGCAGCAAUAUUUAAUCAAAGAUAUUAUUGUUAGAGACAACCUUCACUCAAGAGAGUUUUUAUGUUGAGCAUAAUGCGUCUGUUUUGCAGCAAUAACAAAGUCAAUACAAAAUCCACUCACCCAACUACUCUUUGGUCUAAUGAUAUUUGUCUCCUCUUAAUUGAAAGAAAUCUCAGAUUAAUUCGUUAUGAGUUCAAUACUUAAUUGUAAUGUAGCUUUAUUGUGAUCAUAUUAGACUGUUGCAUUGGUAUAUUGACCGUUAUAAAAAUAUCUUGUAAAUAUACUAUCGUUUGUUCUGGCAAAAACAAAAAAACUCCACACAUACACCCUUGGGUUUGUUAAAUUUGAGUGGGCCUAGUCAAGUCACCAUACAUAACAAGCCCACAUCCCAUGACUCAAAUCGGACAUUUCCUAAUCCAAUCGGGUUUUGGAGGUCCGACCCUGGAAAUCAACACUUCUUGUGUGGUCAAAUCGAAAAGAAAAGUAGGAAUAUUAUUUUACCCAAAAUUAGAUUCCUAAUAUUCUGAGGAAUUACCAAUUUCCAAAGGAAAAUUUCACAAUCCGUAACCUACAAGGACUUUACACAACACAAACCAAAUAUAAAUAUGUCAAUCUCUCCGUGAUUAGGUGAAACUAUCCUUCACAAUGGAUUUGAACCGACGUGUAAAGCUUACCCUUUCUUUUUCAGUAAUUUACUAAGGGGAGGGUAUUAUCGUCAUUUCAUAUGCGGCCCAACGUUACCUUCUUCCCCCAACACGACAAUAAUCCCAUCUCUCCUUCUUGUCCAUUAUCAUACGCACCCUCCGCACCCCUACCCGCGCACGUUAGCACAGAGACCCUAACCCUGAUGGCCACCUCUCGCCCUCCACCGCCGAAGCAUCUCGAUCUCGACCUUACGAUCGUCUCAGCCAAGCAUCUAAAGAACGUCAACUGGAAAAACGGCGACCUCAAGCCCUACGCGGUCUUCUGGGUCGACUCAGACCGCCGACUCGCCACCAAAUCUGACGACUCCGGCUCAACCCGCCCGGUCUGGAACGAGCGGUUCACCGUCCCACUCACCCUCCCCGUCCACGACUCCUUCCUCACCCUCGAAAUCUUCCACUCCAAACCCUCCGACACUCCCAAGCCCUUAGUCGGCACCCUCCGGGUCCCACUCAAGGACCUGCCCGACCCGGAUGACUCCACUCGAAUCCGCACCUUCCAGCUCGUCCGCCCCUCGGGCCGUCCACAAGGUAAGAUCCGCGUAAAGCUCGCCGUUCGAGAACGACCUCUGCCGCCAGAUUACCAUAUGACCCCUCCGCCCAGCUAUUUUUACUCAGGCGCCCCUAUGCCUCCACCCUCUGUUCGUGACUACAGGUCAUACUCGCCGUCGCCGUACUCUUCUCUACAAGCUUCGGCUCCGACUCCAUCGGCUUCCCCACCGCCGCCGCCGCCGUACCAUUACAACUCGUAUUCCGAUCCGUACUCGAGUUACUAUCCGGCGUACUACUCCAGCGCGCCACCUCCGCCUCCACCGAGGCCGUUCUUCGACCGGCAGGCAGGUUACAGUGGGCCGGGUGGUCCUGGUGGGCCUGGCGGGCCUUCCGCACCACUGGACUACUCGAAUUAUGAUCAGAAGCCCAAGAGUGGGAAGAUGGGGCUGGGCACGGGAUUGGCUGUGGGCGCAGUGGCGGGAGGUAUAGGUGGACUGGCAUUGGAUGAGGGAUUGAGGUACGAAGAAGAUAAGAUUGCGGAGAGGGUUGAGAAUGAGUUGCGUGAGCGUGACGAUUACAGCAACUAUCGUGCCGAUUAUUGAUUGAUUGAUUGAUUCAAUCGGAGGUUGAGGUAUGGUUUAAUGACUAAAGCGCAAUGUUAAUUUGCGGUUUAUCGGUGUAUAUGUAUAUAUAUUUUAUGUGGAAUUUGAUCUAAGCUUGGCGCUUAUGGACGUUUGGUUGAAGUAAGACAAGAGUUUAAUGUUAAAUCAGUGUUUUAUUAUGGAAUAAAUAUUGGUUUGUUAUUAAUGAAUUUCAUGUGGAGCUUGUAAUGUGUUUGUUCGCUUUUGUCGAAUGCAUAUGUUUUCUUGGAAUGAAUUGUAUGAUUGAUCUCAAAUACUUGGUACGGUAACAGGGUUUGAUUGAUUGGUUUACUGGUGAUAUUUGGAUUGUUUAAGAGAGUUAAUUGGUAAUUGGCAGAAAGAAGCAUACAUUUUUUUGAAGCAGUUUUUAGAUGAAUGGAUGGUUGAGCAGCUCAACUUGAGCUUUUGACUGAUGGAAGGUUUUGUGUAACCUUCAAAGCAACUUUGUAUAGCCGGAGAGUUGUGUGCUCGUCUCGUGGGAUGGAAAUUCAUGCUCUGAGUUUAGGCUUUCUUUUUAGUAGAUAUGAUUGAGAGCAGAAGAAAUUUCGAAUUGGGGAAACGGGUUUUGUGUUUGAACUUUGGGUCUAGCUCACAUUCACAACUAUGAAAGUUGGGUAUCUGUAAUCUGACGAUAAUUGAACCGUAGCUAAAUGUAUCUUGCAAUCUUUGCUGUGAUUCUAGACUGGUGUGUAUGGUUCAAAGGUUAUCUUAGGUUUUCGCCUUCUCUACCUCUGUCUCGUGUGUGGUGCAGCAAGGGUUUUCCUAUGCUUUUUGAUAUUAGACAGUGAUGUUUGUUUCAAGGUUUUAUGAAGCCUUUCCUUAUUCUCUUCCAAUGCAACAAGGAUUUUCCCAAUGCUCAAGACUGUUGGAACUGAACCAGGAGCUGCCCUGGAACUGUAAAAACCUACCAAGCUUCAACCCUAUGGAGUCCAAUCAAUACAAUACCUCCAUACCUAAGUCAUAUCUGUCAUUGAUACUCUUGAGGAAUGAAAAGACGAUUUUUGCUAUGUUUAAAGUGGUUUGUGUGGCGAUAGAGGAGACAAUGAAGAAGCAACAAGACCAUUUGUUUUGUACAACUCGACAGGAAUAGUUCCAGCCGUUUUCCAUGAGUUUCAUGUGUUAAUUGCCAUCUGGUUACUUAACACAUGAAACUCAUGGAGGAGGACCGGGAAAUCACAGUUUUGUAAUUUUCUAUCAUCUUUGUCAGAGUCGAGUAAUAAAAGAUUGGAUAGCUUGAAGGGAUCUUGGUUUUUUGACAAAAGUUUAAUGAGUGGAAUGAAACCGAAAGUAAUAUAGAUGAACUUGGAGAUCCAUCAAUCUUAGAAGACAAUAUAUAUUAUGUUUAAAAAAAUUUGUGCUGUUUUCUGUUCUAUUCCAAUCCUCUUCCUUCCAACAUAUCUGAAAGACUUGAGGAUCUUCACUUAAAUACUCCUACGGGUUCAAGUAGAGGCCUCUCAAAUGGGCUGGGUCACUUGCGAGCAGAUGAACUGCAAUGGAAGGCAGACUCCUCAAAAAAUAACCCAUGGAUCUCUCAGAAACCAUCUGAGACUGACUGGUCCGGUCCAAUCCAGCCUUAUCACCCAAUGCGUUGCUAAAGCCCAAACCCAAUAUCCAUCCAACCUAAACAAACACUUUCUCUUUUCCUUUCUUUUCUUUUUCUCAUUUUAAAAUUGAAGCCGACUGAACACUGGACAAGUGGUAUGGUGGUUGUUGAGAUUAUUUGUCUCAUAUUAAAAAUUAAGGAAGUUAAUUUGAGUUUAUAAUGAGUUAGGGUUUCUUGAAAUCGCAACUUUCUUUAUAAUAUUAAAACAAGACUAUUUACGUAUUAAACUCAACGAUCAUACGCGCUCUCAUGUUACCUAAUAUGUUGUCCACGUCUUACACUUCAAAUUUGAAACCUUUAUACUUCAAAUUUGAAACGUCUACUACCUUCAAUGGUACUGUUUUCUUCCCACGUUUGCCAAAAUUAGAAGCUCAUCAUUACAAACACUGAACUUUUGAUUUCUACAUGGCUCUGCCUCCACUUUUGUGUUGUCCUCGUAACAAGUGCUGGAAAAGCACAAGCACUCGAGCAAAGCGACAAACAGAAAAACAACUACGUCAAACGAACACAAAUAAGUGCCAAAACCCUAUAUUUCCACAUGAUUUGGAUUUGCACCAAGGUUUUUUAGGAAAGAAAAAAUAAUUAUAAAAUGAAACAUGGUGCCCCUAAUGAACUCAAUUUGACUACCACAACACAAUUAUUCAUCAUUCCAAAGGAGUGGAGCACGGAUUACGAGAUGGGACCAUUUGCACAAAUCCAAUCAUGGUGUCCAAUGUACGUACAUCUCCUCGGACAUAGACAUGGAUCCAUCUUAGAAGGGAAGCUCAAUUGGAAUUGGAUUUCAAUCCACUUUGAUGUCAAGAACUUAUCUCACUUUUUUCCCUAAAUUAUUGGAUGAAUGAUGUUAAACAUGAUUAGGUUAAUUGGAAAAAAAACAAAUCCCAAUAGAUUAGAGGCAUUAUUACCAAUAACUAAAUAAAUUUAACUUAUCCACUCGGAGUGAUGAGAACCUCUUCUGGCCUCUUUCAAUGUAUAUACAUACGUAAGAUUCAUUUUCAAUUGCUGGGUUUUCCUUUGACUUUGAGUGGUUGUUUGUGACCAAGACAGAGACAACUUUAGAGCCAAAAAAAAAAAGAAAAAUUGUUGAUAAGUCCCAAAUGGUUCCACAACUAAUAUAACCGAGGUAUUUAGUGAUAAAAUCCUAUAUUUACUGACUUUUGUAAGUGGUUAAGUUAGGGACAAUAUAUGUGUUGCUAGUAGUGGAUCGUUGUUCCAUCUCUCUGAAAUUUAACACAAAUCAAGUUACGGUGUGAAUCGAUACAAGUUAGAAAAAACAAGUUGAAUGCAAUCAUCAUUUGAAAACAAAGAGAUAUAUGGUACAAAACAAUUAAUUCAUAGUUAGGAACACACACCACUCGUAAUCUGUUCUUAAUUCGAACAUUUUGGUAUCCACAGAAAGCAGAGAUAUUCGAGCAAGCACCAAGUCCAUAUAACAUGAAAUGCAGCAGGAAACAAAACAAAAAAAGAAAAUCAUGAUUAAGAAUCAAACAAAGAUUAGGAGGCUAUAUAUAUACAUUUGACGUGACAUAUAGGGUACUAAAAUAGGGCAAUCAGCAACUAGAGGAGGGUUAGGAAACUGCAGCAACGCACGCCUAGAAUAAUUUUGUUCUCUUUUCUUUUUAACUUGUCUAGUAUAAUUUUGUUGGCAAGCACCAAACUAUAAUGAUUUUUUGCGCAGAUGUCACAGGCUACAGCUACUUACCAUCAUUCUUGGUGGACAUUAAGUGAAAGAGGGAAAUAUAUCAAACCCUAGCUAGGGUGGAAGGGAAUGGUGCUCAUUACAUUCUUUCCUGCAAUUGAUUCUUCUCCCAAUAGAACAAUACCCUACUAGCUACUACUCCCACCAACAAAACAUGUUAGCAUUUGGAAUUUCAAGUUUCCUUCUUUUCUUUUCUUAAUGUAAUUCUAUAUUUCUCGCUAGUUUUAGCGCGUAAUUAAUUCUGAGUUAUACUACAACAAAACUAGAUACGACAACGGAAAAAAGUACAACAUGCAGUUCGAACCAGCACUGUUAUAGCUGCAAGAAAAGCAAAGUUGGAGCUCUGAAUGAAUACCACCAGAUGACAAAGGAGGAAAAGUUACCAUUCUAUCAAAUAGGGCAUCCUACUUAGUUUUGGACCACAGCUAGCUCUAUCCCUAUCCCUGUGCAUGCAUUUGGGGCAGGCAUAAUAACCAUAUCUGUAUAAACUAUCAUGGAUAUCACUGUAUAUGAAUUUUGUACAAAUUGGAGCUCGAGACAAUUUUUGGUGGUCCAUUAUAGUUGUGGUGCGCCUACCCUACAAGUUUGGUGCCCAUGAAAGUGGAUACAUGUAUAUUAUUUUUUAUUUGGACAAACAUCAUGCUUCGUUUCUUCUACGAUGUAUUAAUGAAGGCAAUAAGAAAAUAUACAUACAUAUUUUGAUGUCAAAGGCAAAGCUGAGGCGCAGUUGGUUUUGAUUGUCGGGAUGCAGCAGUUGUAGUAGUAGUUGACGGGAGGGAGGUAGCAGCAAUGUGACAGAAAAUGACCACGUCUAGAGCAUCAAUAUUUGAUUACCCUUUUUCUCUCUCUCUCUCUCUCUCUCUCUCUCUCUCUCUCUCUCUCUCUCUCUUACAUGGCCUGCAGAGCGUGGGUACGUAUUUAUGCUUCGAAUGCCAAUUAAUAAAUGAAAUUGUCUUUUAAUUAGAGUUAUAGGACAAGCUGUCCUACAAACCUCGGUCACCAUAUUCAUCAUCAUAUAUAUCCAAAUUACCUAAGCUAACUACCUUCUUCAACCAACCUAGCUAACAAUUUUCUAUCAUAAUUAACAUUUUAAUUGUAGUUAUGGACAUUAAUUCACUAUUUGGCUUGCGAGUAGUCUGAUUAAUGAGGUCUCAUAAUAUGGUAUUGCUCAUGUUUACUUCUUUUGAGAAUCUUUCCUAUUGAAAUGAGAUAUGACAUACUAAAUUCACACACACUACACGCAGUGGCAAACCUAUUAAGGUGUCUCCCCUUGUCGGAAAAUCUAUUAUAGGUGCUGCAUAUUGCACCUUUGCUCAACCUAGGAGGUGCACUCUAGGUGUUCAGUGAAAAUCCUAAACGAAGUCAGUCUGCUGUUGUGCUGUGUUGUGUUGCGCAGCGCACUUGUUGUUGUUUCUUUAAACCUUGACCAAAAUUGCACCUCUACUAAAAAAAAUCAACCCAUAAUCUUUCAUGUGAGAACAAUAUUAUCAUUUUUAUGCACUAACUCUGCGGAUUUGCUCAUCAACAGGACCUUUUUAUAUAUUAUCAAAAAUAAAAAGGAAAUGGGCAAUUCAUUUUUUUUAUACAUUUUGUAUGCUACUUAAGACGCUAGAUGGAUCUAGACAAACUAGAUGAAUUCAUUAUGAUUGACGACGUUUGAAUUAGGGCAUAUCGAUUUAGAAAUACGCUGAUCGGCAUUAAGUCGUAAAAAAAAUAUAAACAACGUAACGUCAAUCAUAACAAAAUACUUUUCACGGCAGGAUGAGUUUGGUGGGCUGAACCUUUCAGAAUGGGCACUGCUUGGCCGGCCUAGGAGGCUAUGCCCUAAUUCAAAGAACGUCAACGGGAAUAUAUUCAUGCAGACUGCUUCAUUGUCCAUUGUCCAAAACCCAGAUACAUGAACGCUCACUGCUCACUACAUGAUAAUAUUCAUAUACUCUGUAUUCUCUGUAUUGUCAACAUUUUGACCUUUGUCAAUGUGUCAUUCUCAUGCAUAAAAAACAAAAAGUAAACCUAAGAAGUAGGUCACGUCACUGAGCAUAAAAAAGGGCCAUUAAUAGAUUCUUUCAAGAAAAAUGUACCUUCAUUUCUUCAUCAUGUGAAAUACCAAGGGUCGGUGGCAUGAGUUGUUAGAGCACUUUCACCGCAUAGUCUAGUCUCGCGACAAAAGGUCCUUUCAGGCUGAAGAAAUUCACUCCACCAUACAAAUUUAGCCUGGGCAAAUAGUGGGCUCCACAAAGAUUGGAGAGGCUCGAAGACAAGAAUAACCUGAGUUGUGGUCUAAGAUUGCUGAUGUUAAUUAGAGAAUAAUUUUUUAAAAAAAAUUUAACAAAAAAUUCAGAAUCUUUUUUUAUACAUACCUAGCAAUUUUAUUAUUAUUAAUCUCAUAGAUAAAAAUAAAAUUAAUCCCAUGUGAAUAUAAUUGCAUUUGGGUUACCAUGACAAUGGGUGGAAAGACAUAAAAAAUAUUGCUAAGCCAAACACUAUUCGCGUGAAUAGUGUCUGCCUUUACUUGGCCUUAUCCUUUAGUGUGGCACUAUAGAUAAAAAUGCUCUUAAGUAACGCAACAUCUAUAGCUCUUUCAUUUUACAUUGGUCAAAUACACGUACUAAAAGUUAUAAAUAAAUAAAAAGACAUACCUAUAAUAUAGAUGAAAGUUAACCUAGGUUUGUUCUCAGUUUGUGCUUCACGAUUGUUUUAAUUUCAUUUGUUUGCAUAACAACAUAAAGAGAACAUGCAUAUAUACAUUACUAGAAAACUUAAAAAACAUUACUAGAAAAUUUCAAAAAGAGUGACGGAUGAUCUGAGGCCUGUAAUAGCAAAGGCCAUAAUGUACCGGUAGUCAAAAAUGGAUUCGUCACUACUCACAUAGAAGUCAUAUAUUACAUUAUUGUGUUUAUUACAUGGUGUUGCCAAUAAUUUUUGUCAAUGUAAACAAAGUCGGUGGACAGUAAAUUUUGCCAAUGUAAACAAAGUCGGUGACCAAUAGAACGACGGGGCAAUACCAAAACCAAAAAAUUAAUGUGGUGUUACAAGAGUAAAGUAGAAAAAGGCUACUAUAACAACUACAAAGUAGGAAGGUUAGGGAAGGAGAAAAAAAAAAAAAAGGGGUGCACCGUCAACAUGUUUUAAAUACUUUCAUCAAAGCUUCUUAUAUAAAAUAGUCAAUGGUUCUAAUGGAAGUCGCCAUUUUGUAAUUUUGGCACAUUAAUAUAUGACAAGACUUGACCUUUGCCCAUUGUGAUUGUGAUGGUUGUUGAAUUAUCUGAACCUGAUUAGCAUAAUCUGGAUGUCUUGAAAUACCAUCUUUUCUCCAAAAAAAUAAUAUCUGUAUGUCUUGAUUGGAAACACCAAAAACAUUUAGUGGACACAUUUGUCAUCAUCCGUAAAGUUCAAUGGAACACAAACGUUAUACGGCCAUGAUAUUGCCCAAUGCACAAUACGUUUUUUCUAUUGAAGAAAUGGAGGAAACCUCUUAUUUUAAUAAUUUUAAAAAGUUAUAAAAAUGGACUUAGUUAAGUUGACUAAAUUGAAUGUGCUUCUCACUCUGUACCUAAGUUGAAUUUCCUUUUCCAUAAUCUACAUAUGUAAAGCAAAAGGCAUGGUGAAACAUUCAAAAUACCAGAAAAUGUCAUUGGUUAAUGAAUAUUAAGAAUUGAAAUUAUUAUGGAUCCUAUUUUUUUGAAACACAACUAUCCAUUAUCUUUUUUAAUUCUAAAAUAUAUAUAUAUUUUUUUAAAGGCCUCUCGCAAAAGCAGAAACGUGUACGGAAAGGCUAAUUUAUAUUAAAAUAGAACAUCACUUCCAUCAACAAAACAAAAAGUUGAAAAACGUUAAUUAUGUUGGUUGGAACAUAUAUAUCUAAUUUUUAAUAAUAGAAAUGCUAGUUUGACAUGUUGGGUAUUUCCUAAUAGGCUUAAUUAGUGUUUUACUUAUGAAAUGGAUGCCCCGUGUUUUACUUAUGAAAUGGAUGCACAGAGAGAGAGAGAGAGAGAGAGAGAGAGAGAGAGUGGGUGGGGUGCAAUGGAGGUGUGAUGGGGGUUAAGUGAUGAAAAUGGACAGAAAUGAUAAAGUGAGAAAGUUUUAGUGGUUUCUAUAUAUUAUAGGAGUUAAGUGAGAACAUUUUAAUUUUAACCGCAAUUGGGAAUAAAUUUGUGUUUUAAAUUACACCACCCAUCAUAUAAAAAACAAUUAUAUUUCUUUAAAAAGAUUAGUAGAUAAUGCUACCCAAUCCCAUUCGAGUUUCUAAUAUUAGAAAGAAAGUUUUUUUUUUUUUUUUGGUCAAGAUAUUAGAAAGAAAGUAACCAUUAAAAUAAGAACUAAUUGUACCAAAAUUUUACUGUUUACUUUAUUCCAGAAGAAACAAAACUGAAAUAAAAAUGUCUCAGAUUCAAAGGACCGUGGCACCCGAUGAUGGUGGUUUCGGGGCAAAUGCACAAGCAAGCAGUAGCAUGGCCAAUUUGCCAUUGAACAACUAGCUCGCGUGGCAGCUGGGUUCUAACUGGCAUACACGUGGCAGAUAUCAAGGUUCACUUGCAACGUACACUUGGUGAUUGGAACUCUUGAUCUGUCUGUCAUACACGUGGCAGACAUCAACGGAGGCUGCAGCCAAAACUAUAUGGAUCCCAACAAUUAAAACCCAAAUAAGAAAAUGGGUCUUAGUAUUUAGACACCACGGGCUGUCACAAUACUAUAUUUUUUAUUUUUGGUACUGCAUUUAUACAAUAUUUUUCUCAAUAUAAUGAUAUAAAUGAGCAAUGGACCGUCUAAGUCAAACAAUUAAUUAAGCCACAUACAUACAAUUAAUUAUGCUUAAUUAGCAUUUAAAUAGUAAUUAGCAAUUAAAACCUGGCACACGCCGACAAAUCAUAAUUGACGGUUUUAGUUUAGAAGAAUCUUGCAUAUAACUUAAUUAACCGACCAUAUUUCUAUCAGGUAAUCUCAAACAUAUGCUAUAUAAAUAAAUAAAAAUAAAUAAAUGUACUUAUGACAACAUAAUUAAUAAUAAUAUGGCAAAUAAAGCUUAAUUAAUUUUGCAGAGGACAGUUCAAGGUUAGCUGACCAAACAGUUGAGAUUCUUGGGGGGCCGACCUUUCUAGGGAUCGGAAGAAUGACAGCCAACCUACAGAAUGUAAAUAGUCGGCGCUAUUCUUAAUUACAUGGAUAAUUAAUUACUCAAUUAAGUUUUUGCAUGAGAAAAAAAUUGAUUAUCGUGGAAUCUUCACAAAGUUUAUCUCAUAGUACGCUAACUGGCAAGUGAGUGCUGUUUAAGCAAACUCUGUGGCAAUAUUACCGUAGGCUCCUGGCGAAAUAAUAAUAAGAAAAUAAUAUAUAGUAAAUUAAACAUCAAUCACCCUAGCCUAGCUAGUUGACAACUUGGGAUGAAGAAACAAAAACAACUGUCUCUACUUGGAUGCAAUCAGAUAGAGAUCAAGUGGACAAAAAUGAAAAACCAAAUUGUUAUUUUUUUUUAAUGAUAAAAAGUUUAGGAAAAGGGGAGGCUACCUCAUCCCAGAAUUAUGACAUACCAAGAUCUAUUUGAGGACUUACAAAUGGGGUUUCAGCUCCUUUUUUAUUUUUACAUAUUACACAUCAAGAGAAAUUGUAAGCCGCGGAACUCGAACCUAGUCCUGGAUAGCAAAAGAGAAUGAUCAUUACCAACUCAAUCAACUUUCGUUUGCCAAAAUUGUUAUUUUCACUUCUUUUUUUCUCCCUUAUUUUCACUUAAUUGUCAUUAUAUGUACUAAUAUUUCUUAGCUCUUUAUAAAUAAGAGUCAAAUUAAUCACAGGCCGACACAUACGAAUAAUUAAAUUAUUAAAAUUAGAAAGAAAAAGAUAAAUUUGCACGUGUGUAAAUAUGAUUUAUGGUCAUGAUUUGAUUUGGGUGAAAAAUCCGCAGUAUAUUGAUGGAAAGGAGUGCGGGUAGUAUAAAUGUGUUUAAUUGGAUGCGUGGGGGGAGGCAUGAGUAUCUUGUUAUGUAUGGGAAUUGUGUAAUUCAAGGCGGACUCCAUUGGAUAUUGCUGGAGGAUCUACUGCUACCUGUGAGAGAUUUCAACUAGAAAAUCUCAUCUCCACAGAUUCUGAAUAUAUGAGAGAAAAUCUCACAGAUUCUUGUUGGAGUGAGUAAAAUCUCUGAAAUCCAAUAUGCAUCGCUGCUGUUUCAAUAUUCAUUCCUUAAUUAUAGAAUAAUUUUUAGAGUUAUUUUCACUGACACCCUUUGAGAUUUUUUAUGUUUUCACAAAAUUGCCUCAAGUCUAAAAAAUUAUAUGAACACAUCUUCAGGUUUCGGUUUUUUUAAAUUUUUUUACAAAAUCCCUUUUCAUUGAUUGUUUGUCCAAAAUUUGAUGAUUUCAUUGAAAAAAAAACUUAUGCAAAUGCCAACAUUAUCCUCAAUGAAGUAUAUGCAAUAUGAUAUCAAAGUCCAACUUUGUCAUUUGGAGAAUUUUUUUUGCAUAAAAUUAUCAAUCUUUGGAUGAAAAAUCACUAAAAGUGAGUUUUGUGAAAACAAUUUAAAACCUUAAGGGGUGUACAUGGAAUUUCUAAAACCUCAAGGAGUUUUGUGAAAAAACCGAAAUUUUUAAAGGAUAUUAUUGUAAAUAACUCUAAUUAUUAAUAAUUAAUUUGUAACUUAACUUGUCGACAGUCAACACGUUCAAUAUUUUUUAGUUGGCAUGGUGGUGCUUAGACUUCAUAUUAUCUCUUAUAAAGAAGGACUUUUGAGAACCAUCCGAAAUAUCCGCAGGCUGAGCUCAGCUCAUUGGCUUUAAUGUAAAUUUCUUAUUUAAGACGUCUUAUUAUGUGAUUUGUUGAGUUUGGGUUAGACUUAUUGUGUCUUCGGACUUUUCGUUUUAUCAAUGAAGUUUUCCUCGUUUCGUUGAAUUUCUCUCAAAUUUUCAUCAUGUAUUUACUUUAAAAAAAAACCCUAGCCUUUUAAUUAGUUUUAGUUUUCCACUAAUAAAACUACAAUCGUUGUAAUUUCAUUAGUUUGCAUGUCAGAAACUAGCCGGGAAAUCUAACACGUGGUUUCCAAUCGCAGCUACGAUUUGGGAUGCUGAUGAUGAUUAUGAUUAGGAAAUUAUAUGCAGACAGGAGAGAUAGAGUGAAUGUAUCAUCAGAUACAAACCCACGACCCAUCCAUUCGCAUAUUCUUCAUGAAACGUUAAUAAAAAAAAAUAAAAGAGAAUUAAAGUAAUUAAAUAAACGAUGACAACCAAAUCAGCAAUAAAUUACUAAAUUAAGAAACACACCAGCCCCCGUCAGCACAUUCAUGCAUCCAAAACCACAACCCACCCCCUAUAAAUACCACUCCCAACUCUCACACCUUCCUCACUCCUCCUCCUCAGUGUUUACUCACAUUUCCAACCCUCCUCCACACCAUUAGACACUUGGCGCCCAUCAUUCAAUCAAAAUGCCUUCUUCAAACUCGCCAACGUCUCUAACUCAAACUCAAAUGGUGGCCAAGUCCACCGUCUUCCCCGACCAGCCCUCCACACUCGGUGACCUCAAGCUCUCCGUCUCCGACCUCCCCAUGCUCUCCUGCCACUACAUCCAGAAGGGCCUCCUCUUCCCUCUUCCUCCUUUCCCCAUCCAACACUCUCUCAUCCCCCUCCUCAAAGCCUCUCUCUCCCAGAGCCUCUCUCGUUUCCCUCCCUUGGCCGGCCGCUUGACCACUUACUCCGACGGUCACGUUCACAUCACCUGCAACGACGCGGGCGUCGACUUCAUCCACGCCUCUGCCCCCAGUCUCUCCACCCGAGACAUUUUGGGCCCCACUGACGUCCCCAAUUGCGUCAAGGACUUGUUCCCCUUCGACCGCACCGUCAGCUACACCGGCCACCACAACUCAAUCCUGGCCGUCCAGGUCACCGAGCUCAGCGACGCUGUUUUCAUCGGCUGCGCUCUCAAUCACGCCGUCACCGACGGCACCUCCUUCUGGAACUUCUUCAACACCUUCGCCGAGCUCUGCAGACUGUCGUCAUCAUCAUCACCUAAUGAGAACAAGAAACUUACCAUAGCGAAGCAGCCCGACUUCAGCCGGAGCUCCGUUAUCAUAUCGCCUGCCGUGCUCCGGUUCCCGGAAGGAGGUCCCAAAGUCACCUUCUCCCUCACCGAGCCUUUGCGCGAGCGAAUUUUCAGCUUCAGCACAGAAGCGAUUCAAAACCUCAAAUCCCGAACCAACAGUAAAAAAUGGGCCGAAUUCCAAAACGACGACGCUUUAAUAAGCGCCGUUGAGAUUCUCGGGAAGCAGAGCAACGACCCCUACGAGAUUAACAACUCAAACGGCGCCAGAGUGACAUCAAUUAUCGAAAACUGGUUCAAGAACUCCAACGCCAAAACGGCACCCGAAAUUUCGUCGUUUCAGUCUCUCUGCGCGCUCCUCUGGCGAUCCGUGACGCGCGCGAGGAAAUUGCCGUCCUCGAAAACGACGACAUUCAGAAUGGCUGUGAAUUGCCGUCACAGGCUGGAGCCCAAGCUGGACGCGUACUACUUCGGGAACGCAAUCCAGAGCAUCCCGACGUACGCGACGGCGGGAGAGGUGCUGUCGAACGACACACGGUGGUGCGCGGAGCAGCUGAACAAGAACGUGAAGGAGCACGACAACGACAAGGUGCGAGGUGUCGUAGAGGAUUGGGAGAUGGACCCGCGGGUGUUUCCGCUUGGCAACUUCGACGGUGCGACGAUGACGAUGGGGAGCUCGCCGAGAUUUCCGAUGUACGACAACGAUUUCGGGUGGGGGAGACCAUUAGCAAUUCGGAGCGGGAGGGCGAAUAAAUUUGACGGAAAGAUAUCGGCGUUUCCGGGGAGGGAAGGAGCUGGGAGCGUUGAUCUUGAGGUGGUUUUGGCGCCUGACACUAUGGCUCUGCUUGAAACGGACUCUGAGUUCAUGCAAUACGUGUCGAGCUGAGCUUGUGGAUGAUGUCAUAUUUUCUAUAUAAAAACAAAAGUAAGAAGAAAAAGGGAUGUGGAUGAAGGGGAAAUGGUUGGGUGCGGUUGAUCAAGGUCCCUAUUUUUAUAUCUGCACUCUGCUGCUGACCGUUGGAUUGUAUGCGUCCUUGGGAUGAACGGGGGUGAUUUGGUUCAGAGGCCAAUGGAUGGGGGGAUGUUGAUCUGUGUAUUUGUGUCAUUUUGUUUCGUUUACUGGUGUGUGUCUCGUUUAGAUAUGAAUUAUAAUUUUAUUGACUUUUGUUUUUUCAACUAUAUUUCUUUUGUUUUUUUUGUUCUGAUUUUGUGGGGCCAACGUUCUAACAAAAUUAAUUAGUCUUAUCACCAGGUUUCGUUUCGUUUCGUGUACACAUUAUUAGCAUUCACGAGGCUUUUGUGUAUAGAUUUUGUCAUUUUGGGGAUUCAUAUACGAAUUUAGCAUUUUUUAUGGGUUCAUGUAGCAUUUUUUUUUGGGUUUCGAGUAAGAUUUUGGUAUUUUUGGACUUUUGUGUCUUAGUUUAGUAUUUUUUUCAGGUUCGUGUCUAGAUUUGAUCAAUUUGGGGUUUCGAUGGUAGAUUUUGGAAUUCUCCAGAGUUUUGCGUAUCAACUUAGUAUUUGUUAUAAUUUAAUGUGUAGAUUUUCGAAUAUUUAGGUUUCAAUUAUAGAUUUUGGCAAUUGAAGGUUUCAUGUAUGAAUUUAGCAUUUUGAGCGCUUGGAGUAUAGAUUUUUGCUUUUUGAAGCAUCAUGGAUGAAUUUAGUAUUUUUAAGAUUUAAUAUAACAUUUUGUGAUAUCGAGUAUAAAUCUUGGCAUUUUCAUUAUGAAUGAGUAGAGUUUGUGUAUAUAUAUGCAAUCUCAAUCAUUAAAUGUGCUUUAAUCUAAUACUCUAAAAUGUGUGUUAUGAUGUGUGUCCUUACUUGAAACCCUUUAAAAAAAAAAAAAACUAAAUCAUACAUGAAACCCCAAAAAUGACAAAAAAGCUAAAUCUAACAUCAACACCACAAAAUUUUACAUGAAACCCUAAAAAAUGCUUAGUUCAUAUUCGGACCCAAAAAAAAUACUAACUUCAUACUUGAAACUCGAAAAUUCUCAAAUUUAUACAUGAAAUCUCUAAGAGUGAAAAGCCAAACAAGAGACCUAUGAUGUCAAAAUCCAAAUGGACCUAUCCUAUCAUAUGGUAAGGAAACCUACAAUUAACCCAUAUCAUUCUCAUGUCCGGGUGUCCUAAGAUUUUUAAAGAUAAAAAUAAGAUUAUAAAAUUUUCAAAAAAGUUGAGGAACUUAAUCAUUUUUUGGGUUGAAAUUUUUCUGGAGAUGUAACAAGUAUAUAGAGCUUUUAAAAAUUCCAACAAAAUUGUGUAUUUAAUAUUGGCAUAUGCACCACGAACACAAAGGCAAAAUAUAAUCUUCAUUUGGGCCUUUCACAAACAUUAUUGAAUUGAGAUUAAGCCCGAUUCCUAGCCUACUGAAAUAAUAUUGUCCGUCUUGAAAGGCCCACUUUUUGGGCCUCACUCAUCUUAGCCUCUUCGAUGAGUCCAGAAACCAUACGACGUCGUUCCAACCUUGAUGCAAUGCAAGAAACUCUAUUACGUAUCCCAAAUCAUAGGCUCUCUCAACUGGCUCGCUAGGUGCUUGAACACGCCAGUGUGAAGCUCCUAGAGUUGGGACCUCAGCAGCCGAAAUCCAACGCUUGCAGAAGAGCCACGUGGGAAGAUCCCGAGCGCCGGAAAGCUCGCCUGCGAUUCAGGAUCGUCAAAGACGAUGAGCAGAAGCCGGAUUCUGAGAAAUCCGAUUGCGUUCGUUUGGUGGGCUGUGUUGGUUUGUUGCUUUUUAAUUGUUACAAUCUCAAUGCUGAGGCUUCCAGAGAUCCCGCUUGGGUUGCAAUAUCCCACUACAAAAACAAGUAAACAAACUUCAGAGAAUGACAAAUUUUCGAUAGGGAGGUUUGGGAAGAUGAUGCUUGAAAUGUUGCCUGAAGAUCUUGCUUUCACUGUGUUUGUUCCUUCAGAGGAAGCUUUCGAGCGCGAUCUGAGGCUCAGCCCAAAUGAAAGUUUAGUGGGGGAGAAGAUGAAUGACGACACGUAUGCAAUUAUGUCUCGAAUAUUGGGGUUCUCGGCUGUUCCUCGGAGGCUUGCUUCAGUCAAUGUGCCGAUUGACAAGGAGCUGUCGUAUGAUUCGAUAUCUGGGUUUGUGUUGUAUAUCUCGAAAGAGGAAGAUGGAGCGUUGACGGUCAACAGGGUUCGAUCCAGAAGAGUGGAUCUGAGGAAGAAGGGAAGCGUUGUGCAUAUCAUGGAUGGAGUGAUCAUGGAUGCUGAGUUCCAACAAUCAGUUCAGCCUGAGGAACAAGAUUGAGUUCACUCGUGAAUUUUUGUAACAUUGUACUUGGAUUACUGUAGAAACAUAUAUAUGAGAUGUUGUAAUUCUUUCUAGAUAUUUUUAUUACACAAUUAUACUAAUAAAGUUCUUAGGCAAGGGAAUUUGUUUUUUUUGUUUACACAAUCAAGAAUGGUAGAAUUGUAACAACGCAUAAAUGAGUCAUAAGGUUAAUAAAACAGAUGAAAUGGGUCUACAAAGUAAGAUGGGAAGCAAAGCAACCCAAGUUUUAGAGUACAAAAUGAAUAUGUCCGUCAUCACUUGACAACCCGUAAAUUAUAUGUUUAAAAGAAACUGAGCACCAUCCGGGACAUGGCAAAAAAUUAGGGGUAAUUAUUAAAUCGGCCAUGUCCUAUGCAUCCCUCCAAUUCCAACUUGAAAUUCAUCGAGGCUGGAAAGAAGUGAGAGUAUGCAUUUUAGUUAUCUUAGUCGACAGAUGACGCCCCUCAAAGCUCCAACCCGUAUAUAGAUACUUCUUAGCUUCCGGCUGCAGCUGGUACAGCAACUUGUUUUGAGUCUUCUGCCUUUUCAUGCUCCUUAUUGUGCAUCUGAAAUAUUCCAAAAUUUUCAAAUCAGAAUACAUUAUGUGAAGUUUGUAAAGAAAAUCAAGGAAGAUCCAAAUAUUUGUGACAAUAUUAUAGCACCAUGCACAUUGCUUGACAAGCCAGGCUCAAUGAAACAGCGGAAAAGCUAGAACCAUAAUGGACAGAACAAGAAUGAAUAGUGGCCUUUUCAUGCUCCUUUUGUUUUCUCAUUCACCCUCAAACACCGAAGGAAUAAUUGCUAAGGUGAGGAAUCCUAUAUUAGAAUUACACAUUCAAGGAAAUGCAUCUUACCUUGUUGUUAAUCAAGUUGUGAAGAGCAAUAACACUUCGGAUGAGAGAAGAAAGAUAGAUAACCAACAUCAUAUCAUUUGUUUUCACUGCACAUGACAACAAGGACAUGAUUCAACAUUUUAGCAGAAUAGGCACUUGAGCACGGAUCAAAAAUCUAACUGUAAAGCAGUUUAAAUGAUAAAAUAUCUACAGAGGCAGAAUAAACACAGCAGGUUUAUUUACCUGAAAAAGCCUUGAUCAACUCGGAAACAUUAAGAUUUGGAAGUAGAUUGAACACAUCCUACAAGGAUUUUGAAUAGAGAAAUAAGAAAACGUACAGGUGGUAUGGUGAAAAUAUUAAGACUAGGCAAAAAUUAGAAAGAACUCAAAACCUUAUAAAAGACAGAGACAUUAUGAUUCUAGCUUAUACUACAUAUAGGUUACGCCAAAACCGAACCUGUAGAUGGUACAAAAUCUCGUGGUUUAAAGGGAGCUUUCCAUCAAUAACAAGGUCAAGAUAACCCCGAAUCUCUCGAAGUCUUGCUUCCAAUCCCUUCAAGGCUGUGAGUUUCCCUGUAACCUGUACAAGACUUGGAAACUAAGUUUGUUGUAUUCAUGUUAGACUUGUCAUGUGUCUGUGUGUGAAUAAGAAGUAAAAACCAGACCUCUGUUGCAAGAGUGCUGAUGGUUGUAUCCUUCACAUCUCUAAGCAAGUGUUCCACUCCUGUUAAAGAGUAACAUGGUAACUCAAAACUAGAACUAGAUACUCACUCACCAACCCACAAAAGAAAGAAAGAAAUUGAUCUCUGCAUGCAAUAAGUUGGGAGUUCUUUUGAUUCAAUGCUAAUAAAGGGGGAGCACCGGUUAUUUAUCCCAUCGGCAUACCAAUUUCCUCAACUUCAUGGGCAGCAAUUUCAGAAGGCACAUGAACGAACACCUUCUGGCUUUUCUGGGUAGCGUUCUGUAAUCAAACUAAAAUGUUAAUUCAAAUUUGCAUGAAACUGGAUUUCAAGUUAAAAGUAACACUAACCAUAGAGCUUCGUUGCUAAUAGUACACAAGAACAAUAGAAAAUGGAGCUUUUUUUAAUUAAAAAAAAAAUGGUGAUUCUACCUCUUUAACCUCUUCAACAGUACAGUAAGCUUUUGUGGGUAUACCCAGCUCCUUUGGUUGGACAUCAAUUAUGACCAAGACAGGAUUUGGGACAUAGCUGCAAAAUCAAACGGAAUGGAGAAAGGAAGAAAAAUUAAUGAGAACUUAGAAGGACAAAGAAAGGAAACAGAUAUUCAUGUAGGCUGCAGGCUUCCCCAUGUUAGAAAACCAAAAAGGGGGGCAGAAAGGCAGCAUAUUGUACCACUGCACAAGAAUAUCACUUAAAGGCACAGUGCUUCCUUAUAACCAACCAUCACUAUUUUGUAGAAAACUGACACGCAACCACAAGGUUUCCAAAUUCCCAGACAUCUUAGUUCUUGUUUUUCUAUAUCUUCAAGUUAGAUCAGCAAAAUGGUAUAGUACCGUGCAUGUCGGAGAGAGGAAAGAAAGAGGUACACUUCUGCUCCUUUUUGUUGGUUAAAAACUUAAUACGGUUUCUCUAAUCUCAAUUUGAACAAUGUCAACCUUAGAAUACUCAAAUUAUUUCAAUGUUAUCCCUCCACAUAAUUUUGUUAAUCAGACUAGAUGUUAGAAACAUUCAUGAUAUUUGUAUGCAAUCUUAAGUACAAGGAGCGCUGGUUUGCAUUGGGUUGGUCGACUUACUCAUUAAAUAAAGCGUGAAUGUCCAAGUCAUUUUCUCGCAAUUUUGGACCCGUGCUGUACCAUCCCACAACAUGCUCCUUUGCUGGAAAAAGUUAUUUGUCAAUUUUUCAUCAUAACCGACAAUGUACAUAUGUGGAAAUAAGAGAAUUUUCUCGACUAAUACCGUUUAUUCUCUUCGCCAUGGCAUACAUGGCCUCAUGGUAGUUGUGAUCAAGAAACCAAAUACUAGGGUCCCUGUCAUCUUCUUCAAAGGGCACUGUGAAUAGAGAUCAAAUAUUAUUUGUGUAAAAAGUAAUGCACUUGAUCUGGAAACAUAAAGGUUUUAAAAUCAAGAACAUAGAAAAGGCCAAAUAAGAAAAUAUUUUAGUAUAACAAAAACCUGACAAACACAAAAUCUAAACUAAUUCGUCAAAUUUAAGGAUACAAUCAUGGAAUUCAAGGCUGAUACUGCCUAACUUUCUGUUGGAAAAUCAAUAAACAAGAAACUUAAAAUAGUACAUGAAUAUAAGUGGUAGAUACUAACAACUAGAGCACCUACAAUGCAACAGGAAAUUAACAUACAAAGUGCACGGUACCGUAAAUAAACUAAUACACUUUCAAACUACGCAGGUCUAUACAAUUGGAAAGAAAAUAAAAGCACAAAUUUUGCAUAUUUAGGCUACAACAACCUCAGUACCUCUUGAGUUAAAAUUAUAAAUGCCUGAUCAAAUAGCAUGUCUAGAAUGCCACAAUCAGUUGUUAUCACUUUAACUUUUCUACAUAGCAAAUUUGAAAUUUGACACAAGUAGGAAUUCAUAUAGCAGCAUACAAUUCAAAAUGUAACUUAACUUUGUUAAGCCAAUUCCAAGUUUAAGCUCAUAGCGGCAACAGCACACUUAUUUUUUUGAAUAAUUAAGAAAAAUACACCUUGUUUUUCACAAUGUCAUAACCUAAAGACAAAAUAUUCUGUAGCAGCAAUGAAUUAUCCACCACAAUUGGAGCAAAAUUCAAAAUCAAAACCACCAUAAUCAGAUCAAAAUGGGAAAAAUUCAUCUCCAGAUAAAAUAAACAUAUUUCAAAAGUAAAAAAGGAAUGAGAUCCAAACAGAGCCGAGGAACCGAAAGAGAAGCAGAUGGACUAAAAGACGGACAGAAAUAUACGAACCGGCAUAGCUGUUGGUGACGUCAACGGUGCCCUUGAAAGAGGAGCCAAGCAGAACGCCGACGACGCGCUUGCGAGUGUCCUUGGCGACCCUGUUGUAAUUGUCGACGAUGCUGAGCAAAACCAGAGGGUGAACUAUCACCUUCUCGAUCGGCCUCGCUGAGAUUUGCUGCGUUUUUAUCACAUCCAUUUCCUAAUUUCUUCUUCUUGAACUGAACUUUUUCUUUUUUUGCUUGAAUUUUGAGUUAGCUUCUUCUCCAGGAAACCUCAGCUGGCGUGUUCCAACUCAACCUGCUUGCUUUGCUGCUCUUCCUCAGUUUCGCUUUCCUCUCGCCUUUCACCGAACAAUACAUUUUUUAUAUUAUGAAAAGCUUUGUUCGUUUCGGGAUUCUUAGUUGGGCAUCAAAGCCCAAGUUGUGAAAAAAACCGCCUCAAUCUUAAUGGGCCUUGUUUGGAACAGCUAUAUUACCUUUGGGCCCCUUUAACUGGCUUGAGCUUGGGUCAAAAUAGGUAUUAUUAGGUUAACAUGUUGAAAAUAUACUUUUUUUGGGACCUUUUAUGAAGAAUCUUCGAUCCAUAAGCAAUAAGCUUAUAGCUCAAGUAGUUACGAAUAGUCACUAAUGCGCUUAAAAAUUAGUGUUCGAUUUCUCCCUCUCUAAUUCAACAGGCAAAGCAUAUACCCGGCUCCUAUCACCAUUAUAUGAGUCGCACGUGAUGAAGAGUGUGAGAGGGAAAACUGUAUGACCCCCCUCUCUAUAAGGUCCUCAUGCACUUCUCCAUUUCUAUCCCUGAGAUUCUAGAUGCCCUUUGAAGAAUAAUCACUUUACAACACUAUGAAAGGGCAGGUUUAGAAUCUCAAAAUGAAAUUACUGAAUAAUAGUUUUGGUAGUAGCAUAAUAUAAAGGGAUAGGAGAGUAGCGGAUGAGUUUUACUUUGUAAAAGGAUAAAUGAGGGUUGUGGGGAAGUGGGGAAGUAGAUUAGGACAUGAAAUUCAAAGCUGGAAGCAGACCCAAGGCCAAGAGUAAGCAUAGCAUGGACAAUUUAUGCAGCCCAAGGAGACACAUCUCAUGUGAGGACGCAAAAAUUCCAAAUUCCAAGCAUUCAUGUGGAAAACAAGAACCCAACAGAGUAAAUCACAGAGAAAUUAAUAACAACAAAGUUUUCUGAGCACAUGCAGAGGAGAAUGUCCAAGAAUUUCCAAUAUUUUAAACCAACUUUAAAAUUAAUUUCACUACUACGUAAAAUUUUCAGCUACAAAGUUUUCCACUCCAAGCUAUCUCCCCCCACACCCUCCCUUUCUGUUCACCCUUCUUCCUGCCACCAGCUAAACCCUAAAUUCUACAAAUGACAGCCAUGGCUCUACACUAUAAAGCUGGCUAACUAGAAGUUUUUUCUUUUUCUUAUAACAAUUGAAGCCUGUAAUUUAAAGGAAGCUUAAGCGCAGAUCCAAUGGUGGAUGGUCCAUUUCUGUCCCAACCCUGUAAGCAAAAGCUGUAGCCUCUUUGCAGUAUUCGUUUGCAUGAAAUCUCAUCUUCUCCGCUUCUGAUUCGUCGAAGGAGUUUACUGGGAAAAGUUGAAGGGUCUCAAUCACUCUCGCCGGCUCCGAAACUUGAUUUAGUUCUGCAAAGACGACCACAAAAAUCAAACAUUUAAAAGAGCAGGAAAAAAAAAAGAGUAAAAAAGAUAAGUUUCUCUUUGUUUCUUGAGAAAGUGAUCUGAGAGAUUAAAAAAACAGUUACUUCAAAGAGAAAAUAUCUUUUAACAGCCACUAAUAGCGUACGUUUUGGAGAAGAAAUCUUGUCAUGAUCUCGACGAGUGAAAUCCUUGUCAUCGAUGGAAACUUUGCGGCGUUUCUGUCUUUCUCUGGCUUUGUGAUUCUGAAACCAAUAGAAAACGUUUUUGCUCUCGAUCUUUCCAUAAAAGCUUAGCUGAGAGGAGAUUUUCUGAAUCUGAUCAGUGCUCGGCGUACGGAGUCCAGACCUGAACAGGUCAGUUAGAACUUUAACCUGUUCAGUAGUCGGAUUCCAACGCCCGCACUUGGUUCCAUUAUUAUUGCCAUUGCCACCACCACCACUGCCGCGAAAACUCGCAGCUUUAAUGCAAAACCCUGACAUGCCCUCAUCCAUAUUUGAUUUUUCAGCUUCAAAUGCCUAGAAACGAAACAAGUCUCUGCUGCCUCAGAACUUCCUUUCUGAGCUUCUGAACUCAAAACAGUGUGAACCCGUGUGCAUAUAUAAUACCAUAAAGUGGAUACUUUAUUUAUUAAUCUUUUGUGUUACAUUUUUUAUUUGCGGAGUAGGUUUUUGUUUUAUUGAAAUCAACCCUUUGUUUAUAUAUUAAUCUGCGUUGUUUUUAGGGAAUUUGAGAUUGAAUUAUGUGGAUUUGUUCGUUUCAAUUAUCUUUUCCCGGUUUUUUGUGCUGAGAGAUAUAAAUAGAGAGACAUGCGUGAAAGCUGCCACUGUUCAACAUUGGUCGUCGAGCAGACAAGAUGUGAGUUUUCACUAAUAAUGCAUAAAAUUGUAAUUGAAACUCUCUAACAGCAUUUUUUAUUUCCUUGAGUUCAUAUGGAUAUAUAAAAUUUUCUUUAGGGUUUUUAUGCUUUGCACUAAAAUAUAUAUCGGGGAGAUUCUUCUAUAAGUAUUUAAGGUAAUAAUUUGUUACGUAUUUUUAAUCUCGACUGUGUGAUUGCUUUCACUAGAUGUAUUGGUAGAUUUAAUAUGCAAUAUAUAUGCAAUCCAACGAUCGACAAUAUAAAUAUAUAACUAAUUUUUAACAUAAAAUACUUAUUGAAGAAUUCUCGUAUAUAUGCUUAUUCUAAGAUGUUGAGUUUUGUAAAUCUCAUGCUCUAGAAUAGUAGACUAAUCUAGUGCGUCCAAGACCACCAGGACACGUGAGUAAAGCCAAGCAUCAUUUUUAAUUAUGUUGGUGUGUUGCUAAAGAUCAUAUAGAAGAGUGCAAUUUGAUGGAUUAUCUUAACUGGGCAAUUUUUCAAAAGAAAGAUCGAUGCAAGUGAAAGUCAAAAUUUCACAUUGUCUGAUCCAAAUUGGACGGUUGUGAUCGCAACAGACUGACAAAGAUACCGAGUUAGGUUGACCCUAAGACUAAGUAGAGCUCAGUCAAAUAGUGUGGGGUUAAAUCUCCUUUUAAGGGUGUGUGGGAACAUAAACAAAGCGACAAUAAAGCCACCAAAUUGAAAUAUGGGGGAGGGACAAGUCAUGACCAGCCAAAAGAGGGGGACAAAUUGGAUUUUCUUAUGUCAUGUGCCUCCUGUCGUAAGCAACUACAUGCCCCUUUUUCCAGUCACUUGGUUGCUUCAUCCUUAGCUUCAAAUAUAUAUACAACAAAUUUUAAAACACACUUAUCAUUUGCUUGUAGGUACACGAUUCUGGGAGUGAUCAAAAGUCUAGGUGAUAUUUUGUAGUUUUGGGUUUGUCCUUACACAGGGAAUAUAUCAUACAUGGUUGAAUACAUAGUCAUGUCAUGAUGACUUUGCAUGCAGUUUCCAUUUUAGAUAUGGAAUUGGAAAUAACAUCGGUGCAUGUUAUCGUAUUAUCAUGAAAAAGUGAAAUUUGAACUUGAGAUCUCUUUGAAAUAUAGUAUGUAACAUUAAUAUACUUGAUAGUAACUUGAAACAUACCUUCAAAACGAAGAAAAGGGUUUAGUUUAGUGCAUGGUUUGGUAUUGAGACUUUGCAUAUAGUAUCCGUCCUAGAUCUGAAAUUGGAAACAACAUCAAUUCAUGUUAUUGUAUUAUCGUGAAAAGGUGGAAUUCGAACUCGACAUCUCUCCUAACAUAAUAAAUGUUAAUAAAUGUUGUGAAUGCUUGCUUGUGAAUCUGGAAAUGGUCUUGAUCCAUUUGAUUUAUUAUAGUUAUAUUUAGCGUGUGACAAAAUCCCAAGAAAAGUCUUGGAGCAUGCAUGGUUUGGUUUGGUCUCUCAAGAAUUUGAAUAGUAAAUCUAGUAAUUGGGUAGUCAAGAGAAGAGCAGUAGCGCAGUGCCAAGUUGUGUUGCACACUUUCGACAAUUCCCGAGGAUAUGUUUGUAUUCACGAGCAAAAUAUUUGUCUGUUUGCACUUGGCACAAUAGUUAGCUGACUGCUGUCUGUGAAUGUGGUCUGGCUAACUCCUGGGAGCUUUAACUAAUUAAUUAAUUUGAACUAAACUAAUUAAACCUAAUUAAAGAACAUGUUAUGCAGGUGAGUGAGUGAGUGAGUGAGUGAGUGGUGACGAUGAUCACAUAUGAUAUAGUACAAGCGCACUAGGGUUUGCUGGGUUAGUGCCAACCCAUCCUACCCGUCAUCUUGAACAUGUUCCUGUUUGGAAGCAGAGACUUACUUGGAGGAACAUGUCUUUUGUUUUGUUUAGAUGAAUUUUAAGAUGAGUGAAACUUGAUUGAUUAUCAUAUGAUAUCAUAUAGCUAGGCUGAAAGGCCAGCAGCUAAUGGAACGCAUGCUUCUCGAUGAAUGCAUAAUUACUAACAAGUACAUUUGACUGAGAUGAGAUGAGAGGAGACCAAACCAGACUCAAAAUUAAAAUCAAACAUUUGAAAGGGGAGAUUGGUAAAAGUGCCAUGCUGUCCUGUUUGGCUGUCUUUUGCAAUUGUCCAUCUACACCCUACACAAACUUUUUCAUUCAUAUAUAUAUAUAUGAGAUGAGUUUGAGAGACAUGAGAUUGAGACAGAGAGAAACGAGAAAGAUGUGUUUAUUAUGUGUAUGUGGAGAGGGUGAAUGCGGAAAACGUGAGAUUCGAGAAGGCUUAGCUAGAAUUAGGGCACGCGUGAAAUCCAGGCCGCCCCCUAAAAAUCUCCCUCCUUUUUCGACUUUAUUGUCUCCAUUGCAGCUUAUAAUUAAGCACUAAGCAGCAGUGGAAGGUUCACCGCCAUCAUCCAGACAAAAAGGCCAAAAGCCAGCCCACUUACUUACCGUUCAUAUUUUAUAAGAGAGCAGAGAAUAUGAUUUUGGGGGAUUAAGACGUUGUGGAUAUCCCAUCCAAUCAUGCUUGGCUGCUGCUGCUGCCUGCUGGCAUCUCAUUAAUGGGCAAAGGCCAAACUCACUUACUGAAACCCACUAUAAUCAUAAUAAUUCCACUUGUUAAUUGCAUAUGUACUUAGCAUCCUUUCUGUUUGUUGCUACCACUGAUAACCAACUAGAUUUUUUAUUUUUAUUUUUAUACAAGCAAUGUUGGGGGUGGAGGUUUCCUCACCAGGAAGGCUAUAAUGAGGUGUUUAAAGUGAGAAGGCUAUUUAAAGAGGUCAAUCUCAACAUAAAAAAAAUGUAAAGAAAUCAUGAGACUUAAACAUUUUAAAUGUUUUGAUGGUAGGAUUGACCUCCUCACUUUAAACUCCCCAUUGUAGCCUCUUCCAUUUUCUCACACACUCUAUAAGUCAAUGCCCUUUUUCGUUGGACCAAACACAUUUGCUCACUAAAUCUUUUUUAGUAGAGUUAAUUCUCUUCACAAUUUCAAAAACAUUUUCAAGUUCGAAUUCUCUACUCUAGCAUCGAUUUUUUAUGUAACUACCAGGAUCUGUGACAUUUUCCCAUCCGGUAAUUUCAACAGAUUCAUUGGGGAACUCUGGAGUUGUCCCCAAGGGCACUUUAUUAAAGAUCGCGUACGACUAUCAAAUGCAAGUAAUAUAGUUGUAGAUGCCCCGUGAUAAGUUAAUUUGACAGUAAUUAACUUUCAAGUUUUCCACUCGUUUCUCCCAAACAUGAAGAUUAUCAUAUUGUUUACGGAAUACAACACCCAUCGUUCAUAUUUCGGAUUUCACCUUCAUCAUAAAGUUGAAAAUCACGCGCAGUUCGGGGAAGGCUUCCAUGGUGAAUCUGUAUUGGAAGAAAAUAAAGGCAUAUGCUCUCUCAUUCUACGGGAUACAAGACCAAGCCAAGUAGGAAUCCCAAAUCAGUUUACUGUUCUGCUACUAAAAAGCGAAGUAUGGAUAACGGAUUCAGAAAUGACCAGAAGCAGCAAAAAGGUAACAUCCUAUUCUAGAUGUAGUAAAGGUACAAAGAUAAAGCAGAAUCCUCACACGCCAAUGCACAGAAACGAGAGAUAUGAACCAUAACAUUAGCUCCAAAAAUGAUCAUGUUUCUAGCCGACAGUUAAAAGCAAUCUUGAAAUGAUUGAAAAAUCCUACCUAUACUUUCAAUGAAAUAAAGAUAUUACAACCUUCUCUGGAAACAAAGGCCACGUUCUCACACUUGGCCAUAUAUCCCUAACAGAUGACUUCUUAAAAGUAGAAUUGUCUUGACAGUAGAUUCUGUAAGCAAAUAGGAAUUACAGAACCUGCGCAGCCGUGUUCAACUUUUCGGCUAGGGUGAGCUGUGUCCUGGUGAUGCUUGACAAAUAGAGCAAGACCAAAUUGUCCUGUAAGGAACAAAAGAAAAGGACAAGUUUCAUGUCAGACAAUCUCCCGCAAACCAGGUAGCAAAAUUAGUAACUAGACCCACUCCACAGGUUCUAUAAGAUUGAAAUAUAAGAACAUCAAUUGGAAACAUAUUGAAGAAAGUCAACAAAUAUACUAAAACUAAAUCCUUCCUGAUGCAACAAAAUGAAUCAGACUAUAUUAGUACCUGCAGGCUGUCAUUCACAAGCUUAUCAAAAGCUGUAGGAGAUAAUUUCGGAAGAGAUGCAACUGCAUCUAAGAGAAAUCUCCCUAUGUUGUUAUCGGGUUCAACACGACUUUCCUGAAAACAAGAUCCAUUAUCAAAUUUAAGAAAAAUCAAGCAAGACUGACUCAUAAAAAGGUUAAACCUCCUUACUAACCACAACAUUGUCAACAUAUUUGUAAACAUCAUCAAUUAAAGCUAGGAGUCGCUCCAUUGAGGCUUCCAUUCCUUCCAAAUCAGUAGGGAGUUUGUCAACCAUUGUGGUCUUUAGAAUAUCAUCUGCCAUCAUGGAAAAACAUAUGAUUUCAAACCAGACUAGCAUCAUGCUUAAAUGCCCAAACAAUCAUAUGCAAAAAAAUUAGUAGAAAGCUUGAGUUCAACCAAUAUACUGAAUAAAAGCUAAGACAAACAUGACACAUAAGCGAUUUCUGAUUGAUGAGAAAAGCACAUAGCAGUACGGAAAUAUAACAGACUUAAAAGAAACAAGCAACACUGCAGCUCCUAUUUUAAACCAAACCUUCAUUUUCAUCAGUAUUGUAAUCUAAUAUAUAUACAAAUACACACAAUUCUUCUCUGCUGAAGUCCACAAGCAAUGUCACGUAUUUCGACUGUCAAAUCAAAUCUAGAAAUCUCAGAUGCACGGGGAGUCAUAUGCAUCUAAAUACAUUCCAACUUGCCAUAUUUGAUCCAACGGAUGGGAGAGAGAGAAUUUUGUGUGUGAAUGGGUUCUAUACGUGCAUGUGUGUCUAUCUACAAUAACCGUUCAGAACGCAAUGCUUGACAGAAUGUUAGUCAACCACAAACAAACUGCUCCUUUUUGACGAGUAGAACCCCCAUAUUUUCACAAGGUCAGCAAACUGUUGUUGAAAUAUGUAAUCACGUAUUUGUACUAAUGCUCAGAAUAACAAGUUCCUUCGAGUUUCCUCCAAAGCUUAGUGAACAAGUUACUUUUGUUCAAUCAAUUCAGAAAAUUAUUCAAGGAUUCUGAAGUGAAGGUGUUGUGUGUGUAUGAGAGAAAACAUGGAUCAACUAUGAUACUGAAAACAAUGAGGGAUUAGAAGAUUACAUCCAACUCUCUCAGCUUCAACCAUACGAAGAUCGAGAGGAAUUUCUUGAAACUGUGCUGCAAGUUGCCGAUCUCCAAGAGACAAAUUCACUGAAACAUAGGCUUUAAUGGUACCCUCCCCAUUUCUAAAUCCAGUAUCAACGGUCAAAUGAACAGGGUUGGGAGCCUCCCUAGAAUAGAACUCAUGGAUCAAUACGCUACCCCCAGUAACUCCAAAACCAGUAGAAUACCUACAAGCAUUCAUACAGCCACAACAAUAAACAUGUUAACCAACUUGGAAAUAUUACAAAUCUCCAUCACAUAAGUUUAUACUAGCAUAUAUAAGGUUAAAAUACAUGUUCAAAUUUCACGAAACUAACAUGGGGACCAUUGAUUUCAUGCUAUCACCACAAAUGUACUAAACAAAUUUUCCACCACAUCCUUUUUCCUUUUUACAAAUUCUUAAUAUUUGGCAACGAGCUUAACCACUAGUUAAAGAAAAUCCCAUUGGAAGAGUUAGAAAACUUGAUAAAUUUCUGAAGUUUUCUACUCCACAAAUGUCAAUAAGUUAUGUGUUACGCACUGAAUUAUAACACAAAUCACACUAAUGAAGAAACAUUCAGUCAGAAUGAGUAUUAUUAUUACACGCAAAAUAGUUAGAAUUCCCAACAAAAAUUGCCUGAAAAUUUGCAUAUCAAUAACUAAGAAAACUAAAAUAAGAGAAAGGCAUCAUGACAUUUACCAUCCAACAAUGACUUCCUUUGGAUUCACCUUUUGCUGGGAUAUGAGCAUAUUGUGAUGGUAAUCGAUAUCUAAAGCAACCUGCAAAGUAGACAUCACACAAAAAAUUACUAAAUCAGUCAGCUGAUCUUGAAGAAGAUUAAGUUAAUUAACUACAAUUAUAACAUCAACCAAGCACGAAGCAAGGGGGAAAAUUAAAAUCACUAUAAAUUAAUAUCAAAAUUCAAAACAAAGACAUCAGGGAAAGCAGAGGACCUGGUCAGCGCUCUCGUUAUGAGGAACGGCGUAAGAGUUUCUAAUAUCGACUGUGCCAUCAGGCAGGACAGAGCCGAGGAGCGUGCCAAUAACGCGCUCGGCUUGGUCAGGACGCCUGACAUAGCAAUCGCAGAUGUUGAAGAUGACGAGAGGAUGAACCUUCGCCGACAAGCUCGAUGACGAAGACGUGGAGAACUGCAAAACUGUGUGCUCGAUCACCGCCAUUCUCUCUCAGCGUUAUGGAUCUGGUUUGCUUGGGGCUAAGAGAGUUUGCGAGAGAAGGAGCACAAGGAUGGCGCGAGCAAUUAGGGUUUUGGUGGAUAGAGAAGAGAUGAGAGGAGAUAUUGGACUUUACCUUCUUCUUUUUUGAAAAGAAGUUGUAUGUCGGCCUUUUAACUGUAAACAGUGAAUAGGCUGACUUUAGCCCAAUGCUUAGCAUGUCACCAUAUGUCUAAUGGGCCGACAAAAACGCUAACUAGAGAAAUAUAGCCAACUAUAUUUUACCAUGAAACUCCUAUAAUUUCUUUUCUUGAGUUUACUUACACGUGUGGAAUAAUAAAAGAAAUUAUAGGAGUUUCGUAGCAAAAUUUGUAAUCAAAUACUCUGACCAAAAAAAAGAGUAUUACUUUUAUGCUCAUAGCAUAAACAAUGUUAACUCUUUUCAAAAUAGUCAUCUACUCCUCUUGUGGCUCUGAAUUGUGAAAAAGUUAAGUUAUUAAACAAUAAAGGAGAAGUACAUUAUUACUAUUUUUGAAUGUCAAUAACAACUUCCGUUACUAAACUUUGGGCAAAUUGAUUAGAUAUUUCAUCUUCUUACUUAUUACUUUCUGUCAACCUCACGAAACAGGCUCUAGCUCAAGUUGCAUUGUAAGAAAUUUAGUAAAACAUAAAGUAUGGUCACCUGUCCAAUCCCAACCAUGCGUUUGUUGUUAUAUUCCUUUUUAUUUUGCCCUCCAUCUCCAUUGCAACCUGCUCAUUUCCCUUUUCAAAUUUCCCACAUGUUGAUGUGCCAGCUGCCAACACUAACUCCAAAAAGCGUAUAAAGAAUGAUGAAUAAUUAGCUCUAAAGACAAAUGAGUUUGGAUGUGUUUAGGAUUUUCUAUUAAGCAAACUAGCUUAUUGCAUGAAUGGUUGUCAAAUUUGAAGUCACAUGAAGGCCGCCAAAGGAGCAAACUUGAGGUGCUUGUUAUGAUGCCGUAGAGAAUCGAACUUGAGAUCUAUGAUCUGUAAGUCCAGAUUCUGUUAGCUCUUAUGCUAAGAUGUUAGACGAUAAUGAUGGAUGGAAAUUGAGAAUUUUCCUCUCUCUUUUUCAACAAAAGUUUGGCAUGUCUUAAAUGAGAUUAGGUCAGUGGUCCUGUAAUGCUAUGAUUAGAUGAAAUGUGGGUUUUAUUUUUCCAGACUAAUUAUUGAGAUAUGUAAUUAAGCUCAUUUCAUUUCUUUUAAUCUGUCUCACAAUUAUGCAAAUUGCUGACAUGCAGCACAGGAUGAUGAAAGGACUGGAGCUUCUCAAAGUCAAAGAACCUACCGAGAGAGCAAAACCACAGCCUCAUCCGUUGCUAGGUGGCCACCUAACUUCAACAACUCUCUCUGUCUCUCUGUCUCUCUCUCUCGGUUUUUUCAAAAUUUAAAAAGAAAGAAUUUCAAUUUGUUUGCUUGUGUGUGGUGGAGAUGAGAUGAAAGUAGGAAUGGUCGGUGUUAUUUCUGAAUUGAAAAGGACACAUUUCACUGCCAAAUUACAUACAAUGAGCACUCACAUCAGAUGGGGGCCUUUGCCUAAAAACGAAAGGAAACCAGGGCCGUUGAUUCUUGAAGCAGAUCAAAUCAAACACAUGCUUUGCUGCUCAUUAACACUUGCUGAAAUACGUACAAAAUACCACCAAAUACACUUAACAACCAUACACAGAAAAGUAAAUAAACAAACUCGAUCGAUCGGCUUCUUGAGGGAGCUCGAUAAGUACACGUACGCAUCAUGUUGACGAUCAUCAUAAACCAUUAACACAGAAAUUUAAGACUUGGACUUGAAGGGGAUGGCUCUGAUCACAACCACGUGGUACAAAGCUGCAAGUGCUGCCCCAAUGAAUGGUCCAACCCAGAAAAUCCACUGCAACAUUAUUUUAAAAUACAAAAAAUUAGGGUUUAAAAAAAAUCAUUAAAUUGCUCUCAAACUUUUAGAUGGGUCCUCCUUGAAAGGGAAAUUAAAGACUAUUGGAUCCAAGUUUGAAUCUAGCAUUAGGUAGUGAAUACGUCCUCUUGCACUCAAAUUCGAGUUUUCUCUCCUUAAUUUAUAGCCGUUUAUGAUACGGCUUGUAUUUUUAAAAAGAAAAAUAGAUCAAUCAGAAAGGCUUACAUGGUCAUCCCAUGCAUGCUUCUUGUUGUAGAUGAUGGCAGCACCAAGACUCCUAGCUGGGUUGAUACCAGUUCCAGUGAUGGGGAUGGUAGCCAAGUGCACCAAGAACACAGCGAACCCAAUAGGCAAAGGUGCCAAAAUCUGUUAAUCAAACCCAAUUAUUCAAAUUAACAACCGAUUAAUCACCAGUUAACAAAUUAACACGAUCCAGCUAGGCUAAGGAAAAUGAUCAAACACUUAAUUAGCAUACAUACCGGAACAUGGGAGUCUCUGGCGCUGCGCUUGGCAUCAGUGGCCGAGAAAACUGUGUAGACAAGAACAAAGGUGCCAACGAUCUCAGCACCAAGCCCUGAUCCCUUGGUGUAGCCAUGGGCUACAGAGUUGGCCCCGCCACCAAGCAACUCGAAGUUGCGGCUCUUCUCGAAGCCCUUCACCACCGCCGCACCGGCGAUCGCCCCAAGCGUCUGCAUCACGAUGUAGAAAACCGCCCUUGUCAGCGACAGCUUCCGGGCCAAAAACAGCCCGAACGUCACCGCCGG